AAAAUUGUAUUCCUUAGGAACCGUACAUGCACCUUUUGAUGCAUACGGUUCAAAAAAAUUGUGAAUCAAUGUAUAGAUUCUAGUCCUCUUUCUUUUUUUCUAGAAAGGUUCUUUCUUACUUCUAACGAAAGGGCUUUUCUUCGAUUUUUCAAUAAAGAGGAGUUUUGACUCCUUUUUUAUAUUUCUAUUUUCGAUUUUCCAGUAUAAAAUUAGAAGUUAUAAGAAAGGGUCAUUAAACUUAUCGAAUUAACUUCUCAUUGAUGUAUUCUUUCAUCGAGAUUUAAUCCAAACCGCGAUGGUAUUUUCUUGUUCCUGAAUGGGUCUGUUUCAUCUUUUUAGGUUUAUGCUCUACUCAGGGUAAAGAUCUGCCCGAUUUGGAUUUGUACAUAUAGGACAAAUGCUCCCAUUACCAUUUCUUUUUGUAUUUCUUUUUUUUUUCAAUUCAUUUUAUACAAGUAUUUAUUAGAGUUGAGAUAACUUUGCUUGACAAUUAGGAUCUCUUUACAAAGAAAAAAUAUAAAUAGCAAUCAUAGAUAUCUUACCAAUUCAAUUGGUUUUUUUCUAAAUGGAGCCUGGAUACUUCAUUUUUUUAGUCCAACCAACCCAACCAUAAAUUAUUCUAAUUGAUAAUAUUAAUAUGAAUCCCCUCAAAAAUGGAUCUAAUUGCACUUCACGCUCCAAAUUUUUGAUGAUUCAAUUUAUCAUUUUAUUGUUCUUGGGCGAAACGGGGGAUAUCUCAAUCGGGGGAGAGAACGGGGAAAUACCAUAUGAGUGAAAACGAGAAUAGCCAAACAGAUGAAUAAGUCUUAUACAUGUGAUCCGCUAUCAAAAAAAGAAUUGCAAUAGCUAAAUGGUGAUGGGCAAUAUCAUUCAGCCAUAGACCCCCAGUUACUGGAUCUAAUCCUCCACGAAAAGUAAGAAAGUCCACAUAUUUUGACCAAUUCAAGGUGAAAAAUGGGGUUGCUCCCUCGGCAAAACUGGGAUAAAGUUGAGCCAAAAGAUCUUGAUUCAAGAUAAAUUCAUGAGGAAGUGGUAUCUCUUUAGGAUCUACUCCAGAGUUUAGAAAUUGGUUAAUAGGUAAGGAUAUGUGUACUUGAUGCCCCGCCCAAGAGAGAGACCCAAGUCCUAGUAGCCCUGCCCAAUGGUUAUUCAACAUAGAUUCUACAUCUUGAAACCAAGCAAAUUUUGGCACCGCUUUAUGAUAAUGAAAUCAACCAUCAAAAAACAUUAACACUGCAAAGACUAAUGACCAAUUGUUGUACAAUAGAGUUGUAAUUCACUAGUUAUUGCAGAUGCUCGCCAAAUCUGAAAAAAACCAGAUGUUAUUUGUAUUCCUCGGAAACCCCCGCCUAUGUCACCAUUUAAUAUUUCUUGGACCACUAUUGGCCAAACUAUCUGGGCACUAGGCCCAAUGUGAGUUGGAUCACUUAACCACGUUUCAUAAUUAGAAAAAUGAGCACCAUGGAAAUACAUGCCGCUCAUCCAAAGAAAGAUGAUGGAGAGUUGAAUGAAAUGUGCACAAAAUACUUUUCGAGAGAUCUCUUCCAAAUCAAUGGUAUUGCUAUCAAAAUUGUGACCAUCAACAUGUAGGUUUUAGAUCCAAGUGGUAGUAUCAGGCCCUUUAGCUAUUGUUCUUGAGAAAUGACCUGGUCUGGCACAUUCCUCGAAAGAAGUUUUUACGAGAUCCCUAUAUACCGAAAUUUUAACUUCUGGUUUCGGCGAACGAAUAAUCAUUGAGUCCUUCUUUUUCCGAAAAACACAUACAAAGAGACCCGCCAACAAUCAAAUAAUUAGUGAACCUUAGAGAUAGAGAGGUGUUUCUAUAAUUAGUUCAUUUCUCUUCUAUUUUUCUAUCUCCCAUCUAUCUAUUUUCUUUAGUUAUUUACUAGAGCAAUUAUGAUCUAGAAGUCGAUUUGGGGCAAGUGUUCAAAUAUAUUAUGACAUAGCCUUGAGGCGCUCAACAAACCCUUUAACCUUUUAAACCUUUUUGGGCUUUGGAUUGAUCCAAAAAUGACUUUUUUGUGCAACCUAGUGUAUAUUCAUAGAAGUUAUUAGAUGGAGCUCUUUAAUUUUUUACCUAGAAGAUUGUAAUUACUCUAUUCCAAAUCACGCUAGUAGCCAUUAGACAUUACUAAGAGACACCCCCGGUAUAUAUAUAUUUAGUGAUUCAAGGGUUUCUUUUAUUAGUUUUAAUACUAAUAACUAAUAAGAAUUUUGUUUAGUUGAAUUUUUUCAUUUUAAUAUUUAAUAUAAAUAAAUAAUAAUUAAAUAGAAUAAAAAGAAGUCUAUUUUGUCCUCUAUUUGUAUUUUUUAUUCCUAAAAAAUAGCAAAUGAAUAUAGAAGUGAAAUAGAAGGCUUAGAAGAGAGAUAAUGAAAUUAUGUGAUUGGGUCUUCCAAAAGCAAAGGAAUGAUCCAUUUUUUAGUUAAAUGAUCUGAUGAGUCCAACAGACAAUUAAUUAUAACAAAUAUCUAAAUUUUAAAUAAAGGAUGAUAAAUGAAUAGGGUCUCCUUAUAUUCCAAAUGUCUUGUGAUCUUCAACCAAUUAUGUGCUUCAAUAUAAUUACCAGGAGUAAGUGCUAUAGCCUAUUUCCAAUACUCAGUGGCUUGAUCGAACCAAGCCUCUGCAAUUUCAGAUCUCCCUAUUGAAUGGCCUGUUCUCCCCGUCCGGAAUAGGUAGUUCAAUUCCUUCCCUUAGAACCAUACUUGAGAAUUUCUUACCUCAUACGGUUCAACAGUCAAUUCUUUUGGUGUCCCAUUUUGAUCUAUACCAUAUCUAUCUAAUCAGAUUUCUCAUGGAUCUAUCCCAGUUUUAGGGUUAACCAAAACAAAAAUAGGUUAAUUACAUGAGUUUCAAACUUAAAUUUGGAUGAAUAAUCCGUUUAUUUAGUUUUAUCUUUUUCCCACCUUCAGAAGAAUAAAGCAUAGGUAUUUCUACUACUGGUAGAAUUUUCUGAAAGGUAACUAUCUCGGUUUCAUAGAUAAAUUUAUAUAGAAUCUUUGAAAAAAGACUUUCUUUCAUAAGAAAGAAAAUACUUACUAUCUUUGGGAUCUGAUCCUACACCGCUGCUCAAGGGGGAAGUUCUUAUUAUUUAGGUUAGUUAGGUAUUUCUAUUAAAAAAAAGGUAAAAAAUAAAAAUUGGGUUGCGCUAUAUAUAUGAAAGAGUAUACAAUAGUGAUGUAUUUGGAAAAUCAAAUACCAUGGUCUAAUAAUCAACCAUUCUGAUUAAUUGAUAAUAUUAGUAUUAGUUGGAAAUUUUCUGAAAGAUUCCUGUGAAAAGUUUCAUUAACGCGUAAUUCGUGUCGAGUAGACCUUGUUGUUGUGAGAAUUCUUAAUUCAUGAGUUUUAGGGAGGGAUUUAUGUUACCACAAAUAGAGACUAAAGCAAGUGUUGGAUUCAAAGCUAGUGUUAAAGAGUACAAAUUGACUUAUUAUACUCCUGAGUACCAAACCAAGGAUACUGAUAUAUUGGCAACAUUCCAAGUAACUCCUCAACCUGGAGUUCCACCUGAAGAAGCAGGAGCCGCGGUAGCUGCCAAAUCUUCUACUGGUACAUGGACAACUACAUGGACCGAUGGACUUACCAGUCUUGAUUGUUACAAAGGGCGAUGCUACCAUAUCGAGCGUGUUGUUGGAGAAAAAGAUCAAUAUAUUGCUUAUGUACCUUACCCUUUAGAACUUUUUGAAGAAGGUUCCAUUACCAACAUGUUUACUUCCAUUGUAGGUAAUGUGUUUUGGUUCAAAGCCCUGUGCGCUCUACGUCUGGAAGAUCUACGAGUCCCUACUUCUUAUAUUAAAACUUUCCAAGGUCCGCCUCAUGGGAUCCAAGUUGAAAGACAUAAAUUGAACAAGUAUGGUUGUCCCCUGUUAGGAUGUACUAUUAAACCUAAAUUGGGGUUAUCUGCUAAAAACUACGGUAGAGCUGUUUAUGACUAAACCCUUUGUCAUAUAUAUAUAUAUAAAUGCUCGGGCUAGAACUGUGGCUAAAAGUGUGUAAGUCUAUAAAUCCAUUGCCUAAGGUAAACUCUAGGACUAAAUCAUCAUAAAAGCAUAGAACGGGUCAGAAUCCCCCUCGAUCGAGGCAAAUAGCAGUAGCAAAAUGGUGGACCAAAAUUUAGCUCGGUCAAAUCUCUAAAACAUCAAAUUUAGUCUCAAAUGCUUAUAAUUUAUUCAUUAAGAUAGUACGAUUCUCGUUAUGAAAGUAUUCAUUUUAAAAGUGAAAAGUGUAAAUAAAUCCCUUUUAAGUAGUAAAACCAUAUUUUUGGUAGGAAUUGUACCAUUUACAGUUUUAGUGAGCAUGAAUGUGCCGAAUCUAUGCAUGCCAUUACCAAUAUCCAAAAAAUAUGAUUAUUAGCAUCUAAAUGUCUAAAAAUUAUAGCCACAUACUUUAGGAUAAACCACUUCCCAAAAUCCAAAAAAUACCAUAAUCACGACCAUGGGCCCAAUAAUAAAUAGUCGGCAUAACCGUAAUACCAUCUGGGAAACCAUCACCAUCCACUGCAUCUACACAUCAUUAGGAGUAAAAUGAGACCAGUAUUACUAUAUUAAGGGUCGGAUCAAAAUUUGCGUCAAGAACGGGUCUUGGUAAACAAAAUCCAAAAUUGAAUCCAUCACGAGGUCCCUCAAAGGACAAGGAAUAUGUGCUCAAAAGUUAAGCAUAAAUAGAGCGUAAAUUAGGUCUCAAAUAAACCCUUAAUUUUUAGGAAUUUAAUACCUAAUUUCUAAGAAUUUACCAUGAAUUAGGAUGGUAAUUGAAGGUAAAAUUAAUAGGAAAUGACUAAGGAGAGUUAGGCUAGCUUAUAUGGAUGAUUUGACACUUUUUCCUCUCAUUGAGCUCUUAAUUUGGCAUGAAAAUAGCGGAAACUUUGGUGGGGAAAAGGGGACCAAGUGGCUCUUAAGCGGCCACUCUAUCUCUUAAGCAAAAAUUGUUUAAAUAGGUCCAUGAUCAUUAAGAGAUUUGUCACCAGAGUCGGGUAUCUCUUAAUCGACUCGCAGGCUGAUUAAGCAAUGCCCACUUAAGUAGACACAAACAUCACUUAUGUGACCCUUGAUUAGAUGGUCAAGGUUGCUUAAGCAAAAUUAUGUCGCAUACGUGAUGACCGCUUAAAUGGUCAUAUGAUCGCUUAAGCGGUUGCAUCAACAACAUGAUGCUUAAGAUUUUUCUAAGUCUAAAUUGGACUUUGAUCGGAUGCUCGAGAUUCAUUUUAAACCCCGUACAUGCAAAUGAAAUAUACUAUCAUACCAAAUUUGACAUUUUGGACUCAAUAAAACCAUCAAAUUUUAUCCAAGAUCAUUUGAAUAAAUAUGGGUCCCAAACCUAUAGUUCUAUUUUUCAUAUAAUUCAACCAAUAACCCAAAAUGAGUCCAAAAGACUCGAGACCUGAACCACGGGUACCCCUAACCUAAAAUUAAUAUUUUGGAGCUAAUGGCGCUGUCAAAAUCUCAUUCAAGGUCUUUACAGGAGUUUUGGUCCAAGACCAAAUCCUAAACAACAAAAGCUCCAAAAAAGAGAAAUGAGCCUAAAAUUAAAAAAAACUAUCCCGUAUCCAAACCGAUAGUUCCAGCAAGUUAUAAAUAACCUAUAGCUUCUAUGUGAAGGCUCAAAAAGCUGGAAAUGCAUGAAAAUUAAGGAAAUAAUCUAGAGGGCAAUUAUAAUAUCCAGUACCAAAAAGGACUUUUGUCGUUGAAAGUCAAAUAGAUAGAUGAAGCAUGAAAAUUCUUGAUGAGGUACUGGGUCUGCAUGCUUUAAGAAUGGCUCCACAAAUAACCUCCAAGAAGAGAAAACACUUCCAAGGGAUCUUGCCACACGUUUCCCUUUUCCAACCAACUUCUGCACUUCACUCUCAAAAAACCAAAACUUAAUCUCAACUACUAACUGGCCUCCAACUAAACCGAGUAAGGCUGAUGAAUGCGAAUACAAACUACAACACCCUGAUACCAGAACAACCAAGAAAAAAAUCAUCCACGCCUAAGAAAAACCAAGGUAUGAGCCAUGCUACUAACUCUAAAAUCCAAAUAUAACUUCUCUUACCUUUCCAAACCUGCUCUACUUUAAACCAAGAAGAAGAUCACUCAAGUCCUAUCUGUGCUAGUCCAUGAUGCGAAACUCUAAGAAUAAAAGGUGAUCUACCACAAAUUUAAUAAUGGCAACCAUGAGAAUAAGCUCGUAUAAGUUCUACCUGGACACACAAAUGGAAAUGACCAAUGUCUAAAAUCUAUGCUAAUACUAUAGGUAGUUCGGAUAACCAUCAAAACUAAAAUUCAGAAGUCCAAAGAAAAACUACUCAUAACUGAAUAACCCUCUUUAGGAUGCUUCAUCAAUCGAGGAUGAAUCUAUGCUGAAUCUAACUUAUGAACACUACUUUUGUUGGGAAGAUCGUCUAAAUUCUUUGAUAAGAACUAAAACCUUAGGUCAAAGAUGAAGGAACUAAUACCGUUCCCAUUGGAUAUCAUCUGAACACCUAUCAAACAUACUCUAUUUGAACUGAAAAAGAUCGAAUAGGUAGACAAGAGGUAGGCUUAACCAUCCUAUAGAUAAAAUCCCAACAGAGGCAAAUCUAAAAAUAAAGGUUGUACCCAAGGAAUACUAAUUCACCUUCACUGCUAUCACCUUCUCAAAAAUCGGACUAUCCUUGCCAAAAUAAGAUGUAAGGCUUGGCAAAGUUCCCUUGUAGUUUGAGCCAUAGGGCGUGUCAAGUGAGGCGUGAUUUCAACCAUAAAAGGAUUGAAAAGUGGCUUCCUAAGUGAGUAUCAUGUUAACCAUUUAGAAUUUCCCUACUUUAGACUUUUUAUCAUGUGAGAAAUCUGAUAAGCUUUUCAUCGAUAUAAGAUUUUCCCAAAUCCGAUACCCGAGUAAGAAGUUAUGGCUAAUUUAAGCCUUAGUCGUAAACUAUAUCAUUUAAGUGAUUGGCAUAUCGCGGAGAGGGUUUAUUUGGAAAUUUUCAAUUUUUAGUGGGACUCCGCAAUAGUGGCGUAUCAUAAAGGAGCCCAAUUUUCCAAUAGUCAAUUUCCAGUGGAACCCCGUGAGAGUGGCAUGUCGUAAAGGAGUUCCAGGUCCUAACUAAUUGGACAACGCGAUGGCUCUGCAUUGCGAGGACUCCCAUUGUACGAAUUUUCAAUUUCCAAUGAGCCACCAUGAUAAGUGGUGUGUCGCAGUGGCCUAUGAAAUUGGGUUCCCAGUUUAAUUUUUCCAGAUUCGUGCAAAAGUCAAAAAGGGCACUUUGGACUUUUUCCAAGCCUAUAAAACCAUGUAAACACCAAAUCAAGGCCAUUUACAAACAUCCUAUGAGGUUUUUCUCAAGUUUUCACUCAUCAAAAACCCUAAGUAUCAAAAACCUCUUCCAAAAAUCUCAAGAAUCCACCAUGAAUUUUCUAAAUUGAGUCAAGAUUCAAGGUUCCCAAGUCAAGGGCCUCAAGAACCCUCAUUCAAGAGCACAAAUAGAGUUCCAAGAGUGAGAUUUCAUCCAAAUCUUCUAAUUCAAGGUAUGUGGGGUUUUGAACAAGGGUAACCCUUUCACCCUUGUGCGUAAAAGGCUUAUUUACAUCAUGAUUUUCCUUAAAUCUAUGAGAUAUUUACAUGAAUUUAAAUUGGAAUUUUCACCCAUUAUUAUUGAAUGCAUUAUCUUGAUAUUUUCCAUGAAUUAAGAGUCAAAUGGCAUGAUUUAUACAUGUUUUCUUAAGCAUUUACAGAUGGGUAUAAACCCCAUGAUUUUACUCCUUGAGAAGCUAGUACUUGCAAUGUUUGAGAUAUUGAAGCAUAUGACUAUAUUGAUAUUUUGAGAUAAGUUCCUGAAAUUCCCAGAUUUUCACAUGAUUUAUGAAUCUGUAUGCUAUAUAUUAUGCUUUUGAUAAGCUUUAACUUGAGAUUGAGCUAUGGGUUAGUAAGCCUCAUUUGAGACUUAUGAAUUCAUUAAUUCUUAUGCUACAAGUACCCGUGAUUUGAGUGCUUUGAGAUGAUUGAGAGAUGAAUUGACCAAAUGGUCCUUGAGCUUUGAAAUCCACUUCACUAUAUGAGAUUAUCAAUUUGAUUAUUGGGUUCGUGGUGAACCAUGAGAUUAUUUUAAAAAUGGAUUUUUAUGAGAUAAGCACAGAUAAUCUAAAAGGAGUAUUAUUUAGUACCGAGUGGGUAAGUUACUAUAGUUUCUUACCCCAAAACUACGUGCCACUGUAGGUUGGUACUGAGGCUGAGUUUAUGAUGAUUAUGAUUGGGCCCAAGGCCGAGUUUUGUUUAGUGAUUACUAGACCUAGGUUAUACUCCCUGGCAAGAGUAUGACGCUCUUUCCCAACGUGGGGUCUCUUCCUUAGGAGGAAAAAACAUUGGACUCCAUAUAACUCACAUGGUUUAUGUUGGUUACGAGAACCUCUUUUACCCUUCAAACUUUGAGAUCAAAUACUUAUUUUUCUUUCCUAUAAGCUAUUUUCCUAAAUGGUUGAAUUGAAAAGAUGUUGCCUAACUAAAGUAUUUUCUUGAUGUGAGUUAUUUUUACUAAAUAAAAGUAUCUUUCCUUGUUAUAGUACCUUUCAUAAAGCUUUGAGAUAAGUUGUUUCCAUAAACUAGAAUACUUUUCCAUUUGAGAUAGAAUGAUUUCCCUAAAGCUUAAAAUGAAAUAUUUUCCUAAGGUGAAUAAAAUGCCUUCAAGUCAUAUGAUUCCGAAUUCCAAGUAUAUGAGUUCUAAAUAGUUAUGAAAUAUUGAACAUUGAAAAGGUUUUGCUCUCUAUGAGACACAUUCAUGAGUUGAAAUUAUUGUUUAAAGUUCCUUCCUUAUUGGGUAUUAAGAAUAAGAGAAGAUUUCUAUAGUUAAACAAUGAUAAAUCAUGAGAUUUGUGUUAAAUGCCCCAUUCUACAUUGACCUAUGAGCUUUAUAUUUUAUACUUGUUCAAGCCAUGUGAGUCAUCUCAUUGUGCAUACAUAAUUUGAUUAAAGAAGAUUGUUACUACUUUAUACAUAUGCAUUCACCCCCGCAUACUCAGUACAUUCCAAGUACUGAUUCACAUAUAUGUCUAUGUGCUACAUUGUGUCAUAAUAUAGGUUUAGGUGCUUAGUCCCAGCCUAGAUCGUGAUUCUCCGAGUACCUUGCCUACGUUUUCUGCAGUGGUGAGUCCUCAUGGUCUGAGAGCCGAUCUUCAGAUGUUUAUUGUACUUGAGAGGCUAUGUUUUAUCUUCAGUUCAUUUCAAGUCAGUUGGAGACCGGUCCCAAUGACUCUCUAGAUUUUGAUUUGUACAAGUUUGUCAGACUAAUGUCAUACUAGUGCCAAACUUAUGACAUAUCGAGGGCUCGGUAUUGUGGUUUUAGUUUUCUCUAUAUUAUGGUCAUAUGGACCGAGUAUCUUUUCCAUAUUUCUUUUCAUAUGAUACGACUAUGCGAGUAUUGAGUCUAUUCUUAUCUUGAAUUGAGUGUCAUUGGUAGAAACUGGCUCUAAGGGUUAGCUUGGGGCUACUCGCAGCCUUAAGCACCGUGUGACAUCCCGAGAGUAGAUUUCAGGUUGUUACAAACUUGAUAUCAGAGCCUAGGGUUUCUAAGGAGUCUUAGGGAAUCUGACAAGCCACAUUGAUUAGGUUCUUGAUCAUCGGUGUGUGGCGCGCCACAUCUUUGAGCAAGAGGCUAUGAGAAAUUUUAUGAAAAAAUUGUUUCUUCUUUUAGAUUCUAUCGUGCCUAUAGUUGUCCCUCUUGUCUAAUGAUCUAUGCUCUUCUAUUUUCAAAAAAUGCCUCUUCAAAGAGAGACUGUCCAUAAGAACACUUAUUAGCAACCCCCACAUGUUAAUCCUUUGAAUAAGAUGGUGUCGUAUACUGAGUUUAGGGUGGCCUUUCAAGCGCUAGCCCAAGCGGUCACCGCAAAUAUUUGAGCCAAUAAUCAGGCCCUAGUUUCUAAUCAAUAGGGUGGUGAUAUAGCCGUGGCUAGGAUUUGUGACUUUAUAUGGAUAAAUCCACCUGAGUUCUAUCGGUCCAAGGUAGACGAGGAACUUCAGUUGUACUUGGAGAAAGUGAGGAAGAUCACUAACGUGAUGCAAGUUUUAGGAGAAAAAAGUGUUGAUUUAGCAUCCUAUAGGCUGAAGGCCAUUGCUAAUGAUUGGGUUGUAUUAUGGAAAAAGGGUAGAGGUAGGAAUGCCACUCCUAUGACUUGGCAAGUGUUCCAAGAUGCCUUCUUGGACCAAUUCUUUUUGCUUGAGAUGAGUGAGGCAAAGAUUGAGGAGUUCAUGAACUUGAGACAGGGCUCCAUGGCUGUUAAGGAGUACUACUUAAAGUUCACUUAUUCUUCCAAGUACGCUCCUAAUUUGAUUUCUGAUACCCGGGCUAGUAUGAGUAAGUUUGUGACUAGUAUUUCUGGGAUGGUACUGAAAGAGUAUAGGGCCACGAUGUUGCAUAAGGAUAUAGAUCUAACUAUGCAUGCCCAAAAUAUAGAGGCAGAUAAACUGAGAGAGAGAGAAAGAAUUAGGGGUUGCAAAAGGGUGAGAUUUGAUCAGCAUAAAUUUAGCCAGCCUAGGUUCCAUGGAUAGAGUCGCCCUCAGUUUCAGAGAUGUCUAUCAGUUUUAGUUCCUUCAUCAGCUAGUGCUCCUAUGGUUAGAGGCAGGCCGGAGCAAGGGAGUAGGCCUUUCUUUUCUGGGUUGCAAAAUAGUGUUGGCAAUAGGCCCCAUUAUCCUUCUUGUGCUAAAUAUGGUAGGAAUCACCUGGGGGAGUAUUUCAUAGAUUUAAGGGGUUGUUUUGGUUGUGGAAACCAGGGCCACAAACUUAGAGAUUUCCCCCAUGCUAGAUAGGGGAACAGAGAUGCCCGAUCUCAGGCACAGGCUGCUAGUGCACCAACUUCGGUAAUUCAUCCAGUCCCUGCUUAGGGCGCUUUUUCCAGAACUGUUGGUGGUCAGCUCCAGAACAGAUUCUAUACCUUACCAUCCCAUCGGGAGUAGGAGGACUCCCCUGAUAUGUUUUCUUUUUAUAAGGGCUAAAAUCACUUAUUUUGGCUGUUACUGGUAUGGUUCAUGUCUUUUGCUUCGAUGUUUAUGUGUUGUUGGAUCCUAGGUCAAACCUCUCUUAUGUGACCCCAUUUGUAGCUGUGAAUUUAAAAAUAAGUCCCAAAAAGAUUUCUGAGCCUUUCCUAAUUUCUACACUAGUAGGGGAGUCUGUUGUUGCUAAACAAGUGUAUAGAAAUUGACCUGUUACUGUGCUUUAUAGAGUCAUACUUACGAAUUUGAUAGAGUUAGACAUAGUAGAUUUUAACCUUAUUCUGGGUAUGGAUUGGCUUUAUUCUUGUUAUGCAUCUAUAGAUUGUCGUACUCGUGUGGUCAAGUUUUAGUUUCCUGAUGAACUAGUGUUUAAGUGGUCCAGAUGUUCGGUAUCUCCCAAGAGUCAUUUUAUCUCCUAUAUAAAAGUUGGAAAUCUUAUAUCAAAAUGUUGCAUCUACCACCAAGUUAGAGUCAAAGACACUAAGUUCGAGACUCCAACUAUCCAGUCGGUAGAUAUUGGUAAUGAGUUCCUCGAUGUUUUUUUGAAAGAUCUCCUAGGGGUACCUCCCGAUAGAGAGAUAGAGUUCAGAAUUGACCUUCUUCCCAACACUCAGCCUAUUUCUAUUCCGCCAUAUCGUAUGGCACUUGCUGAGUUUAAGGAGUUGAAGGAGCAACUUAAAUAUCUCUUAGAGAAAGGUUUCAUUAGACCCAGUAUUUCUUCUUGGGGCGUACCUAUUUUAUUCGUGUGAAAGAAAGAUAGAGCUUUGCAUAUGUGCAUUAAUUACCAUUAACUGAAUAAGGUCACAGUAAAAAAUAUGUAUCUUCUUCCGAGAAUUGAUGACCUUUUUGAUCAGUUGGAACGUGCAAGUUAUUUCUCCAAUAUAGACCUUAGAUCCGGCUAUCAUCAACUUAAGGUGAGGGAAUGUGAUAUUCCAAAGAUAGCCUUUCAGAUCUGCUAUGGUCACUUUGAGUUUCUAGUCAUGUCUUUUGGGCUAAACAAUGCCCCGGUAGCCUUCAUGGACCUCAUGAAUCAAGUGUUUAAGCAAUACUUUGAUACGUUUGUCAUUGUCUUCAUAUAUGACAUCCUUGUGUAUUCCCGUAAUGAGAAUGACUAUGCAGCUCAUCUUAAAAUUGUCUUGCAAACUCUUAGAGAUCACUAGUUGUUCACCAAAUUUAGUAAGUGUGAAUUUUGGCUAAGGUCUGUAGCCUUUCUGGGUCAUGUUGUUUCAGUUAAGGGUAUUAAAGUUGAUCCCCAAAUGACAGAAGCCGCUUGAAAUUAGCCUAGACCUAUUUCUCUAUCUGACAUUAGGAGUUUUUUGGGUUUAAUUGGAUAUUACCGUUAUUUUGUUGAGGGUUUCUCUUUUAUUGCAUCUCCUAUGACUCGGUUGACCCAAAAGAAAGUUAAUUUCCAAUGGUAUGAUUCCUGUGAGAAGGGUUUUUAGGAGUUGAAGACUUGACUCACUUCAGCCCCUGUGUUGACUUUGCCUGAUAGUACCGAUGGUUUUAUGGUGUAUUGUGAUUUCUCUAGAUUUGGUUUGGGUUGCGUGUUGAUGCAAAGAGGUAAGGUUAUAGCCUUUGCCUUUAGAUAGUUGAAGCCGCAUAAAAAGAACUACCUGACCCAUGAUCUUGAGUUAGCUGCUGUGGUCUUUGCUUUGAAAAUCUAGAGAUACUAUCUUUAUGGUGUCCACGUUAAUGUGUUUACUGAUCAUAAAAGCCUUCAGUAUGUGUUUACCCAGAAGAAGUUAAAUCUUAGGUAGAGGAGGUGGUUAGAGUUGUUGAAAAAUUAUGAUAUGUGUGUUGUAUCACCCAGGCAAGGCCAAAGUAGUAGCAGAUGCCCUUAGCAGAUUGUCUAUGGGUAGUGUUACGCAUAUUGAGAAAGGUAAGAGAGAGUUAGAUCGUGAUGUGCAUUUUAUGGCUAGGUUGGGUGUUAGAUUGCUUGAUUCAGUAGAGGGGAUUAUGUUGGUGCAGAGUAGUUCCGAAUCCUCCUUAGUUUCAGAAGUAAAGGAGAAGUAGGAUAUGGAUCCUUGUUUGGUCAAACUGAAGAAGUCAGUUAAGGAACAAAAGGUCGAGGACUUCUCCCAAAGGGGAGAUGGUGUGUUGAGAUUGCAUAGUAGGUUGUGUGUCCCGUGUGUUGAUGAUUUGAGGUAGAGAAUUAUGGGUGAAGUGCAUGGCGCAUAUUAUUCCAUUCAUCCCAGUACUUUGAAAAUGGAGUUCCCUUGUCUAUCAUUUCGGUUAGGGGUACUCAAUUUACUUCUCAGUUUUGGAGGGCAUUUCAGUAGGGUCUUGGCACCUAAGUUUCUCUAAGCUCAGGAUUUGACUCAUAGACAGAUGGUCAGGCUGAGAGGACCAUUUAGACCUUAGAGGAUAUGUUGAGGGGGUGCGUUCUUGAUUCCAAAGGUAGUUGGGAUAAGCGUUUGCCAUUGAUAGAGUUUACCUUCAACAAUAGUUUCCAUGCUAGCAUCGAGAUGGUACCAUUUGAUACCUUGUAUGGUAGGAGGUGUAGAUCACCUGUAGGUUGGUUUGAAGUGGGUGAAGCUACCGCAAUUGGAUCUGAUGGAGUCUUCUAAUCUAUGGAGAAAGUUAAGCUGAUUAGAGAAAGGUUGAAGACCGCUCAGAGUCAUCAAAAUUUUUAUACAGAUGUGGGGAGGAGAGAUCUUGAGUUUGAGGUAGGUGAUUUGGUGUACUUGAAGAUUUCACCCAUGAAAGGGGCGAAGAAGUUUGGUAAGAAGGGAAAGUUUAGUCCCCGUUAUGUUGGCCCAUAUUGAAUUUUGAGCCGUGUUGGUAGAGUGGCCCAUGAGGUUUAGUUGCCCUCGGAGUUGUCCGCCGUUCAUCCUAUUUUUCAUGUCUCCAUUCUUAAGAAGCAUAUUGGUGAUUCUAUGGUGGUUUAUCCUUCAGAGAGUGUUGAUAUUCAGGAUAGCCUUUCCUUCGAUGAGAUUCUCGUGGAGAUCUUAGAUUUUCAGAUGCGUAGACUAAGGAACAAAGAAUUUCCCUUGGUCAAAGUUUUGUGGCAGAACCAGUCUGUUGAGGGUGCUACUUGGGAGGCAGAAGCAAACAUGCGAGCCAAGUACCCGGACCUCUUUUCCAUGAGUUCAGAUCAAUCUGAAGGUACUAUUUUUCCUUGAUUCAGCUCUUCUAAUCUAAAGUUCAGAUAUGCAUCAAUCCUUGUAUGAGUUCUUGCUUUAUCCGGAGUAUUCAUGAGUUUAGAAAAACCUUGAACCGUUUAGCAAUUGUUUCAGCUAUGUUCACUCUAUCUUUCCUGUAUUCCAAGCCUAACUAGCGACAUUCGAGGAUGAACGUUCCCAAGGGGGAGAUAUUGUAAGGCCCCGCAAAGUUCCCUCGUAGUUUGAGUCAUACGACAUGUCAAGUGAGGCAUGAUUUCGUCCCUAAAAUGAUUGAGAAGUGGCUUCCUAAGUGAGUAUCAUGUUAACCAUAUAUAAUUUCCCUACUUUCAACUUUUUAUUACAUGAGAAAUCUAACAAGCUUUCCAUCGAUAUAAGAUUUGCCCAAAUCCGAUACCCGAGUAAAAAGUCAUGGCUAAUUUAAGCCUUAGUAAUAAACUGCAUUAUUUAAGUGAUUGGCGCAUCGUGGAGAGGGUUUAUUUGGCAAUUUUUGAUUUCCAGUGGGACUCUACGAUAGUGGCGUGUUGCGAAGAAGCCCUAUUUUCCAAUAGCCAAUUUCCUGUAACGCCCUAAAAGUUUCCAAGCUAAAAUUUGUCCUUAAAAUUAUGAAGCAUGGUAUUCUAGAGUGAAUUAUACUCAACUACCUGUGGAAUUCUUUAAAUUUUAACUUUUCAUUACGUAGGUGACUGAAUAAGCUUUCCGUUGAUAUAAGAUUCGUCCAAAACGGAUACCCCGUGAGGAAGCUAUGGCUAUUUUAUGUGCUAGUCGUAAAACAUUGUCAUUCAGGUGUUUAGCGCGUCACGGAGGAUCCCAAUUUCGCAUUCGUCAAUUUCCAGUGAGACUCGUGUCGUGGAGUGAGACAAUUUCCUAAUUGGCAAUUUCCAGUGAGCCACCACGAUUGUGGCGCUCGUGGCGGCCCAUAAAAUCUGGCACCAGUUAUAUUUUUACUCCGUCUCAUUAAGGGUAAAAAUGACACUUCUCCAACCCCUUAUCAUCUCUAACAUGGGGUUUAAUCCCAAGAACACCAAAGUAAGUUUAUUUUCAUCAAAAUCUCUCAAGAAACUCCAGUAGGGUUUCAGACUAAAAAUCCUCAUAGCUCAAGAUUUAACUGUGGGUUUUAGAAGAUAAUGGGAGAUUUGGAAUCCUCGCAUCGCAGGCUCCAAGAAUCAUCCAUUUACUUUCUAAAAUAGGGGUACGUGGGGUUGUCCCAAAUUUCAUGGGCAUGAUUUUUGAAAAGAAUUUACACAAGACCUUACUAUCUAUACUUAUACAUAUGUUUUUACAAGUGGAGUUUUGUUUUAAUAUUAAUAUCAUGUUUUGUGAUAUGGUUUUGAAAGAAAUAUUGAAAUAUCAUGGGGUUGUUGGCUUGCAUAUUAUAUUCCAAUUGUUGAAUUGUGAACAUGUGAUCUGAAUUUCGAAAAGGUGCGAUGUAUAUGAAUUGUGAAUUCUUUAAAUCCCCCAUGAUAAUAUUUUAUACCCCUCACUAUACUUGUGUUAAACCAUCGAGAGCAUGAUUUUUUGCAAUUGACAUGAUAUUACUCAUAAAUGAUUAAGUUUCUUGAAACUAUUAUAUGUUGAGAACCAUGGUGCAUAUGUUAACGACUCAUUCUUGAAACUUAACUCGAAUCAAUUCUCAUCUAAUUGGAUUUGAUUCUAUAUCUCCAAGGGCUUUUAUAUCCCACUUUCAUCACAACAAAAUAUUGGGGCUAUUUUAAGAUUCCACGAUCAUUUCCUCCCAAAACCUUUUGUAGGUAUUGCUACGAAAGCGUUUCUCCUUCCAUGCUAUCUUUUAGAACUACAUCAGUCCUUAUUCUCAUUUCUUUCAUGGAUAUUUAGGUAGCUCAAAUUUCAUGGUCGUACUCACUCUACUCAUGUCAAAAUCAUUUCAUUUUCUACUAAUAAAGAAAAUUAUGCAAUUAUAAUUCAACACCAAGGCAAAUUUUGAGAGUCUAUGAAAAUUUAUUCUAUCUUUACCUUCCUGAACGGUAUAUGGCCUGAUUUCUUAUAUAGCCCAAGAUAUGUAGGCAGAUCAAAAUUAAGAGUUUGACCAUACCCUAAACAAACAACUCAUUCCCUACUAGGACCUCUUUUCUAAUUACAUAUGAUUUGAUUUCUCGUACAACUGGAGAUAUGUAGGCAGCUUAAAAACUAGAGCGUGAUCAUAAUAUUUUUCUGCCGAGAUAAAAUUGGCUACUGCAUCAACUUGUCUGUCCAAAGACUCUUGCCUCAUCUUUGUUCAAACAUGGGCAACUGUUGACACCCAAUUUUAUCUUGUCUUUGUCAUUCUAUUAAUUUUUCUACACUUCUUAGUCCUAAAUAAUUUACUAAAAUAAAUUCAGACUUUUAUUCUAAAAAAUUUUGAAAGAAAAAAAAGGAGUUCUCUUCUCAUGUCACAUUUUUUAAUAUUUUAAUUAGAUAUAGUUAGUUACUUUUUAUAUUAAUAAUAUUUUUUGAUAUGUGCAUCCACAUUUCUUUUAGUUAUAUUAUCUCACUGUAUUAAUUAAUAAGCAUUGUUAAUCAAUUUAAUUGAAAAAACAAAGCAUUGGGCUAUUUUACUCAAACCCAAUUUCUUUAUCAAUUUUUGGACAAAAGAAAUCCAUUACUUCAGUCCAAAUUGGCUCAAACCCAAUCCAAUGCAACCAAUUCCACACCUAACACGUGAAUUCUUGUCAAACCCUCUCCUCUACUUAAAUGGUGACAUAUCUUUUCAAUAAAGAAGCAUAAUGCAUGUCAAAACAAGCACACCUCAUCUCCAUCAUCGGCUCAAUUUAGUGUAACGAUUUCUUAUUUUUUGAAUAAAAUAUAAUUUCUAUAUUUAUUUUGAAUUUACACAUAAAUUUUAUAUUGUUUAAAUUACCUUUGAUUAAUCAUAGUCAUUUGAUCAAAUGAUCAAAUGGUUCAAAAUGGUCAAACGGUCACAAAUCCCUAACUCCCUAUUUUUCCAAACCAACAUUGAUCUUUCCCUUCCUCACUACCUAAUAUAUACCAACAACCAAGAAACCCUUAGCUCUUCUCUCUUCUUCUUCCUCUCUCUCUAUCUAAACAAGAAAUGAUGGCCACCAUACACAUCACCUUCAUUCUUUUCUGCCUAGCACCAGAUGGUGUAGCAAGAUUCUCGUAAUUUUUACCCUUUUCAACCCUCAAAUCCACCGUAUAUAUGAUUUUCAUUCGAUGAAAAUACCCAAAUAAAAUUCAAAAUAAUGAUUCAAGCUCUCUAAUGGCUCUAACCUCACUUUCAUGGUUUGAAAAGGUGAUAUCAUCACUGUGAUUUUUUCUUCUUAUUUUUGAUCCAUUUUCCCCUUCUUUUGGUUUUCAAUUUUCAAAUAUUCAACCCUAUUUUGAUUUCAUUCAAAUCCAGAUUUGAAAUCCAAAAAUAUUUCAUUUCUUGACCUUAUAAAUUACCCAUGAUCUUACCCUUUAAAGACAAGUGUAGCGAUUGGGAAAAAGAGAAAAAAUCACAAGCAAAGUCACAAUAACAAAUCAUUUCAUACUGCAUACAUUAUCAAUUUCUUUCUAUUACACUACUACUUUUCUUCGUGUUUUCAAAUUCUCUUUGACUUAUAUUCGAGUUUGAGUCCUGUGUCCUGAAAAACUUGAUGUCGGAGCCUCAUGUUUGCUACCUAACACAAGGUUAACCUUUAUGAUAAUUUUAAAUUGAAAUUUUCAAUGUGUGACUGAUAUGAUAUCAUGACCCUAAAGUUGAGCUCAUGAUGACACCUAUUUCGGUCAAUCUUAUUAGGUAAGCCAAAAUUCACAAAAUUAAGGAAAUAUCAAUAAUAAGAAAAUUAACCCAUAAAUGUAAAAUUCAAGAACGAACUCAGGCCAUAACAUGUAAUAACAUGAAUUUGGACCAAAUGUAUAAAAUUUCUAAAAUAUAUGUUUCAUGAUUGUAAAGAGCAUCUAAUACAACUUAGAAUACUAAAAAUACAUAAGCAUGUCUUCGAAAGGUAAAUAAUUACAACUAAGAUAAGAUGAGGUCUAGAAUCUUCCCCAAAGUCUAAAGCUCGCCAGUACCUCAAGAUGUCACUCUGAUAGCAUGAACUUUCCUUCCAUGAGCCAUUGUCCAACUAGGAUCUGCACCGAAAGGCGCAAAGUAGGAAUGAGUAUGAUCCUCUUGUACUUAGUAGGUAUUAUAGGACGACUGAACAAAGCAAAGGAUAAAAUAAAAUAAAAGAUGUUAUGAGCAUGUAACCUGCAAAUAGAAAAGUUCUCAAAUGAUAGCCCACACCGUCUCCACUAACAAUUAUAUAACAUAUAAUAAGUCAAAAAGGAUAGCUAAACACGUAGUAUAUAUAAGAAACGCAACAACUAAUAUAUAAAGAAAUACGCAUAAUGUAAUGAAAUGAAGCAAUGAUCGUGGAAAUUUCAUAUACACCUUCCAAGCCUUCAUUCUUCAAGACAAGACCCACGGAGGUUUGGAAUUCAUAUACUUUAUCAUAAUCUCAAUAUCAUAUCUCAAUCAACCCUGCCAACACGUCUCUCGAUAUAGACAUUUUAUAAAGUAUCUCAAUUUUUAUCAAAAGUUAGUAUUGCUAAAUCAAUCCUAAUAGCACAUCCCCUAAUAGGCAUUUUAUAAAAUGUCUCAUUUUCUAUCAAAAAUUAAUAUUUUCAGUGACACCAAUCACAUGAAUAUGUAUAGAUGAAAUAAGGAUGUAAAAUGCACAACCAAUCAGUAUAAAGAUAUUUAUCAACUCAAUACAAGUAUAAAUGAGCUCACAUUCAACUCAAGAUGUCAAUAAUUCUUAUUAUUAGAUCUCACUCGGUACCAUUAGAAUGAUUAGUCAUGUAAGACAUCAAUGAUAUCAUUUUCAAAUAAAUAAAUACUCAUGUAAGGCCUAUAAUAAUAACUCAAUCUCCCAGUCGUGUGACACAAAAAUAAAUAAGGAAAGUCAGUGUACAUGUAAGACCUAGAAUAUCAUAUAAAGCCCCCACUGGGCAUCAUAAUAAUUAUAUUCUCCCAAGUCAACAAUAAUAUACAAAUAAGCCUCACACGAGCACAUGAUAAAAUAACAAUACUAAAAUAUAAAUCUCAUGACUAAACUCGCAAACCCAUAGCAUGCUUUACAUGCUCAUUAACUAUCCGACCUAUUCUGAAGAAAGCUAAGUCGUAAUCUACAUUGAAGUGCCAAAAUUCAAGUCUAGAACCUUUAGCAUAGAGCCUUUCCCUUGCAAAUGGACUUCACACAAGUUAAAAAUACCAAAUAUGUGAUUUAAGAAGUAAAACAAUGUCAAUGAUACCUAUAUUAGGUAUAUUAGAAUUGAGUCCAAAAUGGAUUUAAAAAAUGGGUUCACACAUAAAAGGGGUAAAAUUAGAAUUCUAUUUUAAAAAUAUGUUCCCCGUGAUCAUAGUAAUCUACAAUUGAAAAUUCACGCGAAAACAAGUAGAAACUGAUGUUCAAAUCAAAGAAAAGUUAUUAUAAAGUCUUACCGGCAAAAUCCUUCAAAAUUCAUUUAAAAUCGAGAUGACAAGGUAUUUUUUGAAGAUAUAAUCACUAGAAAAUAAUGGAAAGACGAAUUUAGAGCUUACCCAAGAAAGAAUGGUGGAGAAAAUCCUAAGAAUCACCUUUUUCAAAGCAUCAAGGUCCAAACAUAAAAAAAUGUGAAAAUGAACUAUUUAUACUGUUCUGUGAACAAUACCUCAUGAUCGCAGCUCAAGCCUCAUAAUUGUGAGGGUAAGCAUUGAGUUGGCCAAAUAAUUACUCAUCACAUUUGUGGUUAUCCUCCCGCAUUUAUGAAUGCUGAAGAUAAGGACACAUCGCGAUCACGACAACUUUGUCGCAUUUGUGAUAAAAGAGGAAAACCCCACCCGAUUUAAUUACUCUUCGCGAUCAUGAUGAAAUAAAUCAUUCUACUUUUAAUUUGUAUCUAGGGGCCCACAUUUGCAAAGAACGAUGCUUGAGGCACUAAAUAUUAGCAAAAAUGUUGAGUUUGCCUGUUUUGAAAUUCUUCGAACGGGCCCUUGAGAUUCCUUAGGAACCACACAAAACUAAUUCAUAUAUGCUAAUGGGCUAAUUUUGAAAUUCUGGACUCAAUGACAAUAUUGAAUUUUUAAAAAAUAGAUUGUUUAUAACAAAUUAUCCCUCGAAACCCCGUUUUAGCUUAUUUCACUAUUUCUAUAUGAAGGAUCAAAAUACAAAAUAAAGAUUUCAAACCAGAACCAACUCUGCUGUGAUAAUUGACAUUCCAAACCUAAUAAAUUUUUUUAAAUCACCAUCCGGUGCUCGAAAUACAACAUAUUGAUUGAAGUUAAGCUAAUGACUUUUAAAGCCUCGACUAGUCUCAAGUAUUUUCAAAUCACUCCAGAAUGCAUUGAGGACUAUGCCAAUCGUCCACACAUUUUAUAAAUAGCAUGUAACAACUAUAGAAAAUGAUAGAAAAAUCAAAAUUCAUUCACAAAAAAAGAAAAUUUCACAAUCAAGGUUGUUACAUAGGGUUUCAUAAAUUACUGUAAGUGUGAUUUUCUAUCCCGUCUUGAUGUUAUUGUUGCUUCUCUGUGAAAAUUUAGUCCUAUUACCUCGUCUUGAUUUAUGAUUGUAAAAUGUGUGGCUGCUUUUUAUUUAUAAUAAGUUAGCUAUUAUCCUCCCUCAUUUUCGUUUCCUUCAUUACAUUUUGUCUACUAAAAGUUGAGUUCAAUUUUUAAGUUUGUCUUAACUCGGAUAUACAACUUUUGUAUAUGAUGUAAUGUAGAACCUCAUCUUAUUUGCUUUAUUUUCAGCUUAUUUAUUCACAAUAUGUCCAUGAAUAUGUGAUAAGCAUUUAGUCCUUUUAUUAAUUUGCAGUAAUGGGGAAGUGAUACUACGUGAAUUUGUAGCUCCAAAUUGUAUUGAAAAUGCAAAAAGUGGUUAAUACCAAGUUAUAGCUUCAUGUUUCUUUAUUGUUUUGACUCCCAGUCAUUUGGAUAACUUGAUGCCUUAUUUUAACCAAUGGAUAUGUAUUAGAAACUCAUUUAUAUUCGCGUGUUAAAAUUUGUUGAGUCAUAUUAUAUCUCAUCUAAAUUCAAUUGAUCAUUUGCUAAUUGAAGUACUCUUAACACAUUCUGGAAAAUUGUGUUCAAAUUUUCCAUGCUUACACUUAUUUGUGUGAGAUUUUCUACAUAUUAGAUCAUGAAAUAUUUGAUAAAAAAGAAAUAUAAUUUGCAGUCUUACAAGUAUCUACUUAGGAUGUAUUGCUUCUUUUUGGUACUUUCUAUAUUUGGUAACUCAUUGAAAAGGUGUAGAUGUGUUUGGAUAGCUUAGUGCCUCGCAACUUUAUCACAAUUACAUAUUAUGUGAGAAGUUUAUUUCAAAUACUUUCUUACCAAUAUAUUCUUGAAUGACGGUGUGUAAACAGUUGGAUUGGUUAGCAUCUUGUUUAAGUUCAAAAAAUAGUUGAAGUAUUUAUCUCAUGUAUUAAUUUUGUUGAGAUUAAGAUUAUGCUAAUUUUUCCUAUGUUUUGUUUACAUGUGUACUUGGUAGCAUAUUUGAAGUUCAGAUGAACUCCAUCCCUAUCCAAAUUGAAGCUUGCGUCUGCUAUUACCUUGUAUUACUCAAGUCUAGCUUUCCUUAAAGGUUCUCAAAUGUUGAUGAAUUCUAUAAAAGAAUCUAACACUUUUUCCUAUUUAGUCUUAUUCUUGCUUGCCUAAUUGUAUUGCCUGUUAUUGUUUACUAACACUCUCUUGUUAGGUUACGGGUCUUUUUCUCUUCCUAUGUAAAUAAAUGAAGUCCAAUUUAGACCAAUCCACUUUUGCACAUAGGCACAUUAGGUCAUAUUUCACAUCCACAAAAAGAGAGUUUCAACAGCCAGAUAAAAUAAGAGCUGAUUUUCGUACCUAAAAUUCCAACCACAACGUCAACUUCAAAUUGCGAUCCCCGCUUCAUUUCUUGCCCAAUUAAGUUGAUAUUUGGAUAGCUUGUUCCUAUCAUCUCAAUAUUUGAUUAUAAAAUAAUGGUGGUGGACUUGGUGACCUGUAUCUCCUGUUUUUCAUUCCCGAACAGCAGCUACAUUUUAAAUAUUUUUACACAUUUUUAUUCUCUAGUUUUGGUGCUAUCUUGUUGUGUUGUUGCUCAUUGUUUGACACUUUUUUGGUGGCCAUUUUAGAGAAUAAUAUUGUAAAUCUUGGUGAUUAUAGUGGAGGUUUUGGUCCCGUAAUAUUUACUCUUCACACCGAAGGAUUUUUCACAUAAAUUUAGUGUCUUGUUAUUCUUGUCUUAUCGUAUUUGUAUGAUUGAUUUAUUUGCUGCCAUAUUCUUUAUUUUGCUUGGAUUUUCUUAUCUCUUCUUGGUUCAAAUUGAAAGGAAAAGUUUAGACUUGGGUAUUCUUUCGUUAUUAACCCGUUGGACACUUUGAUAGUGCCCAUGCCUUUUUUCCAACAAAGUGGUAUCAGAGCAUUGGUUGUUGUUAAUUAUUGAUUUGAAUGAUGGAGACCAAUAUGAGCAAAAUGGUGUGUUUGAAUGGUAGUAAUUAUCAGAGUUGGAAAGGAAAGAUGAAAGAUCUUCUCUUUGUCAAGAAAAUGCAUUACCUGUGUUUGCGUCUACUAAACCUCAAUCCAUGACAGAUGAGGAUUGAGAAUUUGAGCACUUGCAGGUUUGUGGAUAUAUUAGACAAUGGGUUGAAGAUACUGUUAAAAACCAUAUUGUGAAUGAGACACAUGUCAGAAGUUUUUGGAACAAGCUCGAGACACUUUAUGCUUCAAAUAUUGGCAAUAACAAGUUCCUGCUUAAGCAAUUGAUGAAUAUCCGGUAUAAAGAGAGCUGUCCUAUUUUUGAUCAUAUAAAUAAUUUUUAGGGUAUUCUUCACUAGUUGUCUGGAAUGGGUGUAAAUUUCGAUGAAGAAAUUCAGGGACUUUGGCUUCUUAAUACUCUGCCUGACUCUUCAAAAACUCCUUGAGUUUCCUUGACUAAUUCUACUCCUAGAGUAUUGUAACUAUGGAAUAUGUUAAGAGUGGUGUCUUGAAUAAAGAGAUAAGGAGAAAAUCUCAGGCCUCAUCUUCUUCAUCUUCACACUUUGAUGUUUUGGUUAUUAAAGAAAGAAAGAAAAACAAGUCAAGAGGUUCAAAUGAUAUAGAUAAAAGUAGAAGCAAGUCAAGGUCAAAAUUCAAGAAUGUUACAUAUGGCUAUUACAAUAAAAAAGGGCAUAUCAUGAAAUAUUGCUACAAACAUAAGAGAGAUAUGAGACGACAAAAGAAAGAAGGUGAUAAUGAAUAUCAUAUUUUGGUUGUUGCUAAUGAUAAUCUUCUUGUUGCUUGUGGUGAGAAUUUCAUUAAUCUUGUUCGUGAUAAGUCUAGCUGGUUUGUGGAUUCUGGUGCCACUUCUCAUGUUAUGCCAAAGAAAGAAUUAUUUUCUUCUUAUACCCCAAGUAAUUUUGGGAUGUUAAAAAUGAUCAAUAAUGAUGAAGUUAAAGUACUUGGCAUUGGCACUGUUUGUUUGGAAAGUAACAAUUUUUCCAAACUAGUUCUCAACAAUGUCAAGCAUUCUCCAGAUGUUCACUUAAAUCUGAUUUUUGUAGGAAACCUUGAUGAUAAGGGUUAUGGUAACACCCUUGGUGCUGGCCAGUAGAAGAUUACUAGAGGUUCGAUGAUUGUGGCUCGAGGUGACAAGUUGUCUAACUUAUAAGUAUUUUAGGCCUCUACUUCUUGAGCCUUGACAAACUUAGUGGAGAAUGAUACUUCAUCAGAGUUAUGGCAUAAAAGGUUGAGUCAUAUGAUUGAGAAAGAGAUUGAUAGUUUGGCUAAGAAAAAUUUGCUUUCUGGAGUAAAAAAAGAAAGUUGAAGAAGUGUGUUCAUUGCUUAGCCGAUAAGCUAAAAAAGAUUUCUUUUCAGAGUCAUCCACCUUCAAAAAAGCUUGAUUUGCUGGAAUUGGUAGAUUCUGAUUUGUGUGGUGCUUUUAAAGUAAGGUAUUAUGGUGGUGCACUUUACUUUGUGACUUUUAUUGAUGAUUAUUCUCGCAAACUCUGGGUAUUUUCUUUGAAGUCCAAGGAUUAAGUAGUUGAUGUGUUUAAGGAUUUUUAGGUCUUGGUUGAGAGGCAGACAGGGAAGAAAUUGAAAUACAUCCGCUCAGAUAAUGGUGGUAACUAUAUUGAUCCUUUUGAUAGAUAUUGCAGAGAGCAAGGUUUCGAUAUACAAAAACUCCUCUGAAGAUUCCUCAGUUGAAUGAUUUAGCAGAGAGGAUGAACAAAACUUUAGUUGAGAGGGUUAGAUAUAUGCUUUCAGAUGCUAAGCUACUAGAUUCUUUUUGGGCAGAAACACUUAUUACAACUGCUUAUAUUAUCAAUUUAUCUCCUACUGUUGCUUUGGAUGGUGAUGUCCUUGACAGAGUUUGGUCUAGUAAGAAUGUUUCUUAUGAUCAUCUUAGAUUCUUUGGGUGUAAAGCCUUUGUGCAUGUUCCUAAGGAUGAAAGGUUAAAGUUGGAUGGUAAUACCCGUACUUUUUCUAGCUUGAAAUUUUUCCCCAAGAAUGUUAGAAGAUUUAUUUGAAAUAUGAAUCCACUUUUAUAUAUGUGGUUUUUUGAAUAUUUUCACUUUUUUUCAUGUGGGAAAUUCAAUAAGCUUUCCAUCAAUACUAAAUUUGCCCAAAUCUGACGCCAGGGCGAAGAGUUAGAGUGAGAUAGUGUAUCACUUGAGCCUUCAGCGCAUCGUGGAGAUAACUCAAAUGGUAAUUAUCAAUUUCCAAUGUUGCUCCGCGAUAGUGGUGCAUCUCACCAAAUUUCCAGGUCUCAAAUAAACUGGCAACGCGAUAGCUCCGCAGCGCGCCACCAUGCAGGUUCCCAAUUGUCCAGUUCCAUUGACUUGGCACGAUAGUGGCACGUCGAGCCAAGGAUAAAAAUCAAGAAAUUUUCUCAGAAAUUAAAUACGUGUCCUAGGGUUAAAAGGGUCAAUUUCCCACCCUAUAUAAGCCUUAUAACACGAGUUUUGGCGAUAAUUCAGCAGCUUAUACUCAAUUACUCUCAAAAAAUCUCAAGAACAAGACCUAGGGUUUUCAUAAAAAGUUCAAUUUCAAGGGAAUUCACCGUCAAAUUUCAAUAAUCUCUCCGCCAAUCUUCAUAGAAUCAUGAACUAAGGUAUGCGUAGUGUUCAUUCAUGGACUCCUUUCACCCAUGAAGCCCAAGAAUCUCUUUUUUAAGUUUACGUUUAUGGAUUUCUUUAUGAAUUUCAUGUUGGGUUUGUUUUUUUUUAUGUUGAGAAUGAUUAAUUGAAUUCAAAUCCAUGUUGGGUGAUAAAUUUAUGUGGAGUUGAUUUGUAUAAAUGUAUAUUCAUGUGAACCUAUGAAUAAACCCUAGAUGAUGAAAUUAGAGAUGAAUCAUGAUGAUUAAUUGUUGUAUAAUGUUGUCUACAUGUGCUAUGCCUACCAUGUGUUUGAUUAAAUGCCUAGAUGAAGGAACAAUGCCCAACUAGUAUGAUAUCAUGAACUCCCCAUGUAUGUACAAGCUUAUGUAUAUCACAUGUUUGAUGAUAUUCUUUAAUAUAUGAAUUAAGAAUUAUGUUGUUGGUCAUGUGUUCAAUUAACCCAUGCUAUGUCAGUUUCUUCUCAUCGAGUCCUGGGGGUACCUGUACCCGAACAUUUAGAUGUGUGCCUAGAGCUAUGUCAUGUUUUCAGAUACUCUCAGUCAAGCUAUGAUCUAUAGAACUCAGUCUGUCAUGUGACUCAAAAAAUCUCAGAAAUCUCAGUAAUCUUAGUAGUUUAGUAAUCUCAGUGAUCUCAGUACUCAGUAAUCUCAGUAAUCUCAGUAUUCCCAGUAAGUCUUAGUAACCUCAGUACUCUCAGUCAGUCCUCAGAUCUCACUAGCAUUUCAUCGGUUAAUGAAACUCAGUAAAUUUAGAUAAGCUCCACUAAACUAUACCAUUAGUAUCAGUUCAGUUAAUUAGUUUAGCACAAUUAAUCAAUUCAAUGUCUAUUUAGAUGGGAGUAGGAAUUAGCACCGAGUGAACCUAAGGAUGGGAACUCACCUGUUAUUUGAGGGUGCGAUUCUUAGAAUCAAUCCUUGCAUUCUAGAACUAUGUAACCAGCAUAGGUUGAGACAUCGUAGCCUACUAUAUGAGGGUAGAUGAGGUGGCUUAACCUGUUAUAUGAGGCUUCCCUCUGUUCUCAUUAGAGUUACUGUUAUAUGAAGGUUACUCACAUGUUGUCUUUACCAGUGGUGCGGUAUUGACACCUUCCAAUCAGGGCACAGAUUAAAGCCUAGCUCAGCUUUUAUAGCACAAUUAGGGCCUAACGAUUAGAUGACUACUUCCCAUAAUCUCAGUUAUAGUCUCAGUCUCAGUAAAAGAACUCAGAUAGUUCUUCAGAUUUAAGGACAUUCAAAUACAGCCAAUUCAGAUACAGUACAAAACUCAGAUGAUUCCAUUGGAUUUAGGAAUGUCAAAUACAUUCACUCAUGUUAUCAUUUAUAUCAGUUCUCAGAACUUAUGUUAUCAGUAUUCAGUUUUAAGACUGUUAGAUAUAGUCAACCAGACCAGUUCUUCAUAAUCAAAACUGUAAGACAUAGUUAUUCAUAUAUCAGUAACAUAGUAUCAGUCCCUCAGUAUUCAGUAAUAUAGUAUCAGCCUUUCUCACUCAUCAGUGAGGUAAACUCAGUAGUCAGAAUUCAGUAUUCAGUCCUAUCACGAUCUCAAUUACAGUUACGUAGUCAUGCAUGUAUUCUCACAUUCAAGUUAGCCAGUUAGUUAAUAUUGUUUAUGCAUAUGAACUAUUUGCAUUUAGCUUGUCUCACUUGCAUACCAGUACAUUCAAAGUACUGACGCAUUUGUGUUAUGGUGUCUUAUACCAUAGGUUUAGAAGCAUGAGCUCUAGAGAACCAGUAGCAUCCCAGUUCAGCGAUCAAAGUUAGUAGUGAGUCCUCAUCCUUCGAGGACAUGAUAAUCACAUUACUAUUAUAAUUUUCAGUUUAUUUUAGUAGUCGGAGUUAGUUGGGGACAUGUUCCAUCAACUCCUUAUUCAGACAGUUUUGAGGCUUUCAGACUAUGGCAUGUCAAAUAGUUAUUUCAUAUUUGAUUUGGUAUUGCUAUACCGCUUUCAGACAUUGUUUUAUCAAAUGUUUAUUUAGUUUUGAACCUUAUGGCCUUACAAAUUUUACAUAUUCCAUAUAAUUUUAGUAUUUUAUUCAGUGCUUAGUUACAGAUAUCAGUCAUGGGUUAGUUUGUGUUCCUUUGGGGUCAUAGGCACCGUGUAGCAUUCCGGUUUUCUAAAUUUGAGGCAUUACAAACUUGGUAUCAGAUCCUAAGGUUCAAUAGUAUCCUAGAAAUUCUGAAAGCCGUAUCUAGUAGAGCCUUGUACUUGCGUGUGUUGUGCACCACACUUAUAUGCAGGAGGCUAUGAGAUGUUUUAGAAAUGUUUCCCUUCUUUCAUAUCUCAGAUCGUGCUAUAGAAAGGUUCUUUAAGAAACUCUUUUAGAUUCUUAUGAUGCUUUACGCAUGUCAACUUUACCUUACUUUUAAGGUAACAGAAGCAGUGAAGCUCGAGUCCUAGAAAUAGGGCUUUCUCAGACCGACCAUAUAGUCAGUUAUGGGAUUGCCCAUAAGCUCAAAAGUAUCCCAUCAGUUCAGUUAUGUUCCAGAGUUGUACAACUCUUAUUCAUGAUCAUGAGAACUCAUAUUUCAUCAGAUCCCUUAUCCAAAUUCUAUAAUAGCAUAUGACCUAGAGUUAGAAGCAUGAACUCAGGAGUUUAGCAGUAGUAGAUUUGGGAUAAUAUGAUCCAGGUUGAAUAGAUUAUGUAUUUAUGGGGAUAGUUGUACCAAAGUAAAUUAGUAGGCUUGAACAGUACGAGCAAGAAUUUAAGUUUAUUGACAUGACAUUAGGAUUGAAAGUAUAGAUAUGAUAUUAGUAGUAUAUGAAGAAAUAGAACUAGAUGAUGUGUUUAGUAAGGCAAACAUGUGUCGAAUAGAGUGUUAGUAUAUGACUAUGAUUGCGGUUUAGUUUAGAGUUUAGUAAAGUGUUUAUAGACUUAUGAUAAUAGCUUAAAGCCAAGGGGGAGGUGAUAGAUCAAGUAACCCAUUUCAGUCUCCCAGAUUCCAGUGGUAGUGCCAGUAUGUAUAGAAAGCAGUAAGGGAAGAUGAUUCCCGACCCAUCCUUAUCUCAGUGCAGAGUUUUGCACUUCUGCUAUCACGAAAUCAACUCAGGCCUUGCAUGUUAACUCUAUGGUCACGAAUCAUGCUCAUGUAUUUUCCAUAAAUCAUGUACGGUUUUCAUUCCCAGUAUAAGGGGUCCCAUUUUAUCCCAUAGUAUGAAUUAGUUCCAUGAACACAACCUACUUUCACAUACUUUCCAUGUAUUGUGUGCGCUUUAAGUUCCCAGUAUAAGGAGUUUAGUUCUAGCUCCCUCAGUGUUAUGAAUCAUGUCUCACAAAUUUAGAAAUUUCAGACCCAGGUCAUAUAGCUCAUGACCCACAUACUCAUGUCAUGCUUUAUAGUAUGCUUAGUCCACAUGACUCAUGCUCCAAUUCUAGUGAGCAGCCAAACUCAGAUAUGUCAUGUAUAUCCUCAGUUCAAACCAUUUUGGUGAAUCCAUGUUAUUGAUAUUUGAUAACGCUCGAACUAUACCUCUCUUACGAGAGAGUAAGCGGUCGUUGUCAAAUAUAUAAUCCAACUAGGUUACGAUAGAAUCCCAUAGGGAAUAUGGUGCUAAUUAAGUUAUAUACAGAUUAGUUGACUUUUAAUCGUUUGUUUUCGUAAAAUAAAUAGGGGGAUUUGGUUCAGCUCACAAAUUAAUGGUUUCAGUUUAACAAGAUGAAAUAUGUGUAGUAGUAUUCAUAUUUAGAGAAAUAGCAAGCUAGGGUUAUGUCCACCUUGUAGUUUUCAAUACAUUCUAACUAUGGGCUUUACGAAUUCAUACAUGCAUCAUGUUUACAGAGAAGCGUAUUGUAUUUAACAACAUAACCCUAGUGUUUCUCAACUAUCAAGGACUAAUUCACUUUAGUUCUCUUGAAUCAAAAGCGUUUACCAAAAACAAUACGAAAUCUCCAAGUAGUUAAUCCUGCUAAGGCAUUAACUUAUAAAAUAGGGGUUGGUAAGCCUAUUUUCUUGUCACUACUCUUUUUUCUGAACAUCAACUUUUCUUUUGAAUAAGUUGAAUUUUAAGGCAUAGCCUCUAUGUUUGCAACCAUGAGAAUUCAAGAUAAGCGAAGAGAGUAAGAUGUAAACAAAUCAAUGCUUAAUGAAUUCAAAACCCAAAGUGAUACAUUGUAUGCUACAAGGCUUCCAUAACCCUAACUAAUAAACUUAGCUACACAUGAAUAAAAUGAAAAGCAUCAUAAAUAUAUUCAUCAUACCAAAAACUAGAAGAUAAUCUUGGUGUGCGAAUAGUGAAACAUCUCAUUGCAUUAUUAUUAUAUUUGUGUUACAAAAUUAUUGAAUUUAAAUUGUAUACUAAAUCAUUUAUAUAAUUUAUAUGUGUACAUAUUUUUGAAAAUCAAUCAGGACAAAAAAGGCAUUGGUAAAUUAAUUUAAUGAAAAAGAAAGCAUUCGGGCUAUUUCUAAUUCAAUCUCAAUUAUAUUAAUUCAAAUUCAAUUUAUUUAUCAAUUUUCAGACAAAAGAAACCCAUUAUAUUUGCCCAAAUUGUCCCAAACAUUGUCCAAUUCAACCAAUUCAACACCCAACUCAUCAAUUCUACCACACCCUCUCCACCAAUGAAAUGGUGACACACCAUCUCUAUAAAGAAACACAAUCUAUGUCAAAAUAAGCACACCUCAUCUCCAUCAUUGGCUUAAUUUAAUCUAAUGGUUUCAUAGUUUUUGGAUAAAAUAUAAUGUCUACAUUUAUAUUAAAUAUAUAUAUAUUUUUUAUAUCGUUUAAAGUACCUUUGAUUAAUCACAAUCGUCUUAUCAAAUGAUCAAACGGUCCAAAAAGGUCAAAGGGUUACAAAUCCCCAACACCCCAUGUUCCAAGACCAACAUUAAUCUUUUCCUUUCUCACUACCCAAUAUACCCUAGCAAUGUAGCGCCUCAAAAUUCAAGGUAAGAUUAGAAUCAUGCUUCAAGUGCAUGUAGAAUAAAACCUUUUGUUUUGAUAGUAUGAGAAGUGACUUAGACACGUAUUAAGUCCACAAGUAAAUCCUAGCUAAUAGCCAAGUCAAAAGCUUCCUUACCGAUUGAUUUCUGGAACAUCUUACUAUAGUCAAUUUCAAAUGAGCAUAAUUCUUAGGUUCUGAUAUAUUUUUAAAAUCAAGACUCAGCACAUGAUAGAUAUUUAAAUUAUCUUUCUAAUGCAUUCAAUUUUUUAUUAAUCUGAUAUCGGAGUCCAAGCCAAUAUCUGAAUGCCUUAAUCCAAAUCAAAGAAGAUUUUCUCUCCCUAAAAAUAUCUCUCUUCUCUCUAAAAAUUUUCUUUACUGUUUCUGCUAGAAUGGCUUCAUAUCAAUCGGUGGAGAUCUUUUGACCACCGAAAUAGUUACAAGAUGAGCGCAUCAAUGAUAUGAACCCACCUCAACAAGAAUCGAUCACUAAUUCUUCUCAUUGCUCUAAGAAAUUACAAAAGAUUAAAAUGGUCAUAAGGGAGAUUUUUUAUGAUAAAUGAGAUUUGAUGCAAAAUAUAAUUUCUCAUGAAGAUUCUAGAGGUAUUGAGAUGAUUAGGAGCCAUAUUAUGGAUUUUAAAUCUCAAAACCCCAUUGAAGUUAAUAAUUUUGAGCUUAAUACUAUGUCAAUUGAUGAAAUUGCGCAAAUUGAUUUGCAAAAUAUCACGGCAAAGCUAACAGAGGUGAGACUUCAAAAUCGACCUAUCUUUGAGCAAAUUCGUGAUGAUAUGGAUGAAGGUGAGGGUAGAGGAGUUCAAUUCACCCCCACAUUUAAUUUCUAAUUCAGGAAGACACUGGUAACAUUGCCGGAGAUCAUUUAAAUUCCAACAAAAAUAAUUUUAUUGGUGAAAUUGGUCAAACUCAAUGCCAAUUGAUAGAGGAGGAAGAAUCGAAUUCAACCAUGCCAAAUUCCCCAAAUCUUGAUGAUAAAAAUAUGUCUAAUUUGGAUUUUACGAUUUCGAACUCUAAUUUUUCAACAAAUAGGAAAAAUGAUAAUUCGAGGGAAUUAAUUCAAAAUUCCUAGAAGGGAUUGAUGCAUGAAGGUAUGGGGAAUGUAGAAAUAUUGAAAUCCCUAUCAAAAACCACUUCUAAUUCAUCUAAAUUUGAUGUAAAAGGUCCCUUCUCAACUGAUUUGCUCGACACUAUUGUUCUGGUGAAUAUUAAUCAUUCAACAUUUAAUUUCCACUGAAAAUGAUAAGGAAAAGGUGAAUGAUGAAAAAUCCCCAUCAAAUUGUACUCAAGGCAUGCCAAAUUUUGAAAAAUAAGGUUUCUGAUGAUAUUAUCACUGUUGCGGGUUCUGAAGACAAUAAUUCUAAUUCAAGUAAGUCAGAAGAUGUUGAGAAAACCUCUAAGGAAACCAAUUCUGGUGCAUCAAAAAAUUCUUUACCCUCUAAUGUUCAAAGUGAUGAUAAAAUAAUGAAAAAUAGAGAUAUAAAAACUGGUAAGUCUAUUGCUUGUGAGAGUAAGUUCUGUAAUUAGAAUAUGGAGCAAGGUAAAGAUGGUAGGGACAAGAAUAAAAAAAUGGUGAUGUUGCUGAAAAAUUUAUCCCUAAACCAUAUGUUCCUAAUAGUAAGAAGUCUAUCCCUGGUGAUCCUAAGGCUAAUGAGCUUAACGCAAAUGAAAUAAAAACAAUGUUGGGAUCAUAAUCGAGUUACCAAUGCUCAAGCACAACAAAAGUCUAAAAAUGCAAAAAUUCCUACUCCUCCUACUGCGUGGGUUUCACAUGCAGUGUCCACAAAAUUAAGGGCUCAAGAAGCUUUGAAGAUAUCUAUAGUUGAGAUCACUUUGGAAAAAAUCACUACCAAGUAAGGACUUCCCACUAUUGUAUUCAAACCUGAUCAUUACAAGGUGAAAUAAGUUGCGAGAUGUAAGUAUACUUUGAUAGGUAAGUUUACCAAUACUAUGUCAAAAAUAGAGAUUAUAAAAAAAUAAUUUAUUCAGCAAACUAAACUUAGAGGUGGUGUUAAGGUGUCUCAUUUUAAUUCUAAGCAUAUGUAUAUUGAUUUGGAGAAUAAAUAUGAUCAUACUACUAUUUGGACUAAAAAAGAUGUCUAUUCUCCAAUUAUGCGCACCUACUUUUAAGUCAAUUUUUGAAACACCUCAUGUACCUAUUUGGGCUACUUUACCUGAGUUACCAUGGCACUGUUACUGUAUCGAAGUGAUUGCUCCUGUAUGAAAGGCUUUAUUUCUUGAUUUAGCUACUUAUAAGAAGACAAGAAGAAGUGUAGAAAAUGUGAAAAUUCAAGUAGAUCUUAGUAAAGCUAGACCUGAUCAUGUAUGGUUGGGUUUUGAUGAAGAUGAGAAUGGUCAAGGUAUGUGACAGCCUGUAUAGUAUGAAAAAGUUUUGAAUUAUUGUACCUACUGUAAGCAUCAAGGAUAUGGGAUCACGACAUGUAGCAUUAAGAGAAAAAAAUAAUGAGAUAAAAAAAUUGAAAUAGAAGAAGCUGAGAAGAAUACUCAUCUCUAAAAGCAACAGAAUAUUAAUCACAAUAGUGAGCUCAAUAAUGAAUUUACAAAAGCAUCUCUGGCAAGACCAAAAAAACAGGAACAAUGACAGAAAUAUAGGAAACACAGGAACAAGGCCAAUGGCAAGUGUAAAGAAGAAGAGGUAAAAUAAAUAAUUAUCAAAAACAACAACACAAUUAGCAUAACUAGAAUCAGAGAGAGCAGGUACCUUAGCAAUAGUCUUAUAGGUCUACAUCUCUACAGAAAAAUAAUGCAACAACUUUAAAAAAUUAGCAGUAGUUGUUCUGACCAUAUCUCAACUCCUUUGUUAUUGUAUUUAUAGAUGAUAUCUUGGUUUAUUCCAAGAGUGAGGCUAAGCAUGAGAAUCAUUUGCAAACUGUGCUUCAGAGAUUGAGGGAUGAGAAGUUGUAUGCCAAGUUCUCCAAGUGUGAGUUUUUGUUAGAGUCUAUUUCUUUCUUGGGUCAUGUGAUGACCAAGAAGGGUAUUAUGGUUUAUCCAUCCAAGGUUGCAAAAACUCGUGAUUGUGCUAGACCUACUUUGCCCAUCGAGAUUCAGAGUUUUGGUGGCUUGAUGGGUUAUUAUUAAUGUUUUAUUAAGGGUUUCUUAUCCAUUGAAGCUCCGUUGACCAAGUUGACCCAGAAGAAGAUUUCUUUCCAGUGGUCUAAUACAUGUAUAGAGAGCUUUCAAAAGCUCAAGGAUUUGUUGACUUCAGCUCUUAUCUUUGCUGUGUCUAAGAAAGGAAUUGGUUUUACUAUCUUUUGUAAUGCUUCAAGUGUUGGUUUGUGUGUUGUGUUGAUGCAGGAGGGUAAGGUGAUUGCCUAUGCUUCUCAUCAGUUGAAGCCAUAUGAGAGGAAUUAUCCUACCCAAAUUUAGAGUUUUACGCGGUUGUGUUUGUUUUGAAAUUAUGUAGGAACUACUUGUAUAGAGUCCAUUGUAAGAUUUUCUCGGAUCAUCGUAGUCUUUAUUAAUUUUUCACCCAUUGAGAUAUUAAUAUGAGGCAGCUUCGCUGGCUUGAUUUGCUCAAGGAUUAUGAUUUGACUAUUCUCUAUCAUCCAGACAAGGAUAAUAUGGUUGCUGAUUCCUUGAGCCGAAAGUCGACUAGCAUGGGUAACUUGGCAUAUUUUUUGAACUAGGAGAGGCCUUUGGUAUUAGAGGUCCAGCUUUUAGAUAAUCAGAUGGUUAGGUUUAAUAUAUUGACACCUGGGUGUGUUUUAGCAUUUGUAGAGGCUGGGUCUUCUUUAAUAGAAUAGAUUUGAGCUAAUCAAUUUGAUGAUGUGAGAUUGAGAUCGAUUUGAGAUAAAGUUUUGAGUAGUGAGGCUAAGUAAGCCUCACUUAAUUCAGAUCAUGUUUUGAGGAUUAAGGGUCGAGUUUGUGUGUUGAGAGUAUCUCAUUAGAUUAGAUUGAUUUUUGAAGAGGCUCAUUAUUCCAGGUAUUCUAUCCAUUUUGGAGUGACUAAGAUGUAUCAUCAUUUAAGGAGCAUUACUGGUGGGGUGGUAUGAGAGAGGAUGUAGAAGAUUUUAUAGCCCGUUGCCUUUGUUGUCAGUAAGUGAAGGCGGAGCAUUUGAGGUCUGAUAGAUUGCUUCAGUGGUUACCCAUUCCCUAGUGGCAGUGGUAAUGAAUUACUAUGGAUUUUAUGACUGGGUUGCCUCAUACUUUCUAGGAAUCUGAUAGUGUCUAGGUCAUCGUAGAUCAAUUGACCAAGUCUACUCAUUUCCUUCUGGUGUAUCUCUCCUUUAGUGUUGAGAGGCUAGCCCGUAUCUAUAUUCAUGAGAUUAUAUGACUUCAUGGUAUGCCGGUUUCUAUUAUAUAAGAUUGAGUCUCGGAGUUUACUUCUUACUUUUAGAAACCUUUUUAGGAUGAGUUGGGUACUUGGGUUGAUCUUAACAAAAUAUUUCACCUCCAGAAUGAUGGUCAGUCAGAGUAGACUAUCCAAGUUUUAAAGGAUAUGCUCUGCGGGUAUAUGAUGGAUUUUGGAGGCCAGUGGAAGUAAAAUUUAUCUUAAGCAGAGUUUACGUAUAAUAAUUUCUACCAUUCCAGUAUCGACAUGGAUCAUUUUAAGGCAUUGUAUGGUAGGCAUUUUCUCUCGUUAGUGGUUUGGUUUAAUAUUUUUAAGGUUAGAACUCUAGGUAUAAACUUGCUCUAUGAGUCCUUGGAUAGAGUUUGGGUAUUCAGGAUAGACUCCGAGCAACUCAGAGUAGGCAAAAGUGCUAUGCUGAUAGUAUAAUUCGUGCCUUGAGAUUUGGUGUGGAUUAUUGUGUUUUCCUUGGAGUUUCACUCAUGAAGGGUUUGAUGAGGUUUAGGAAGAGAAAAAAGAUUAGACCCAAGUAUAUUAGUUUAUUUGAGAUUCUUCGAACUGUUGGUGAUGCGGCUUAUGAGUUACCCCUGACCCUAGAUUUAUCGGUUGUUUAUCCAGUUUUUCAUGUUUCUAUGCUUCAUUAUUAUAUUCCUGAUGAGUCUCAUCUCAUUUAUUGGGAGUCAAUUCAGUUAGAUGAGCGGUUGUCUUUCGUUGAGGAAUCAGCCUCCAUUUUGGCUAGGGAUGUUAGACAGUUCUGUUCUACAGUUAUCCCUGUGGUUAAAGUUCAGUGCUGACUUCGACCUACAUAUGAGGCUACUUAAGAAAUUAAGUUUGAUUUGCAUAGUUUGUAUCCCCAACUUUUCUUUGAUUCAGGUAUUUCUUUGCCUUAGUUCAAGGACAAACUAGAUUUUUAGUGGUGGAUGAUGUAACGACUUAAAAAUUUGAUGAAAUAUGAAAAAUAUUUAUUUUUAUGAUUUGACUAUUUUACCCCCCCUCCCUCCAUAGUUGCAUUAUGGUAUUUUUGGAGUAUGGGGUGAUUGGUAUAAUUCCCGAUGUAUUUUGGUGCCAUUGAUGUGAUAUUGUGGUUUUGAUGGCUUUGAGAGCCUUAUUAUGGACUUAUUUGGUUAUCUUUUUGUCUGUGUGACGGAUGGCUGAACUACGACAGCAGAUCCAGAAUGUUGAUUUUUGUAUGGUAAUAUGUUUGGUCUGGUUUUUCAGCUUUUAAAUCUCAUUUGGAAGGGGUAUAAAAAGACCCCUUAGAUCAUGAUUUAGGACAUUUUCCAUUUUUCCUCUUGAGAUUUAAACCCUAAACUAGUGUGAGAUCUUAAAAGUGAAGCAUGUGGGUGCUUGGGAAGCUAGAGUAACAUCCAUUUCUCAAUUCACUUACGGAUUUAUGGUGAGAAUUCACUCUUUUCUUAGUUUAAAUUUCUUGAUUAAUUAUUCGAACUCCCAAAACGUUAGGGCUUGAUUUUAAACCCUAAUUUGACUCCUUUUUACUUGAAUAAUGUCCCUAAUCCUAUAAUUACUUAUUUUUCCUCGAUUUCAUCUUCAAACAACGUAGAUUCUUGAUUUUAAAACGGACUUCAAAGGUUUCACCCUUUAAAGUUUAAAAAUGAUUUUUCUUCGAUUUGGACCUUGUUUUUAACUCGAUUUGACUUAGUUUUACAACUGUAGAUUUCUUAAAGUGUGAAAAACACAUUUUUAAAAUAAAGUUAUGAUUUUGUCUUUUUUUUUUGAAACCCAUUGCGGGAGUCCAUUUUGUUUUGGCACAUACAUUCUAAUUUUCUUGGUUUUAGUUAAUUUUGGGAUCAUUCAUGAGAAGUAAGGUCGCGGUGUGAAAUAUUAUGGAUCAAUUUCGGCAUUGAGGCAGGUUAUGACUUAACUCUUUCAGAAUCGGUUGAGUAGCAAAUGUUGGUAAAAAAUGCAUGUUAAGAGGAUGGGAACUAAUCAUGAAAUUGGCUGUCUUAUUGUGUUGUGCUCGUGUGGGGGCCUAUAUGUGAUUUGAUCAUUAGUUUUGAGAUAUUAUGUGAUAUGUGUGACCAUGUGAGGUCCUAUGUGAUAUUGAUAGCUUGAAAUACAUGUGAAUAAUUGUAUUGGGUUGUUGGAAUACGUAUUGUGGUACCAUUGGUGUAUUGUGUAUUAUUCAUACUUUAUUGGCAUAUGAAUCAUGUGGGAAUUUAUGAAUGAUUAGAAAUAACAAGUAGAUAAUUGGCUCACGUAAUUGGUAUAUUAGUUGGUUGUGGAAAUGUGCAUUUCGAUUGGUUGUGAACAUUGCAUCAUCAUCUUCAUGGUAUCACACACAUAAUUUCACUUGUCUGUUGUAUGCUUUAUAUAUUUGCUUCUUGUUGUUGUAUGUGUACUUGAUUUAGGUCUUAUGUUAUGUACGUUCUCUUGGAAACACUAGAAAUACUAAAAAUACUAGAGACCUAAAGCACUGGAAACAACAGAUUUUGUAGACCUUCUCAGAUAGAGGUGCUGGACAUGAGUCAUAGAAAUUGACAUCGAAUAUUGGAUCUUAUAGACCUUCUUCAAAGGUUAUGCCAUAGAAAAGUCAUGGAUAUUGGUUGUAUACGGACUGGUGAAUCCUCUAUGGGUCCUAGAUCGAGAGGCUUAUCUUCAUAGAUGUAUAUGGGGUAGUAUACGGGUCAACAAACCCACCAUGGAUCCCACGUCGAGAGGCUUUCCUUCAUGGGUGUAUACGAAGAUUGUGUGACAACCUCGUGCAUCAUCAUCUUCAUCACCUUCUUAUACAAUUCACUUGCUUUAUUGUGUUUAUGCUGUGAUUGAAAUUGCCAUAUUGACUUGUUAUGCCUUUAUUUGUUCUAUCUUCCAUCAAUGUACUUGACUAUCUUGUAUAUACCUGUUCUUCCUUGUUUCUAAGUGUAUAUGAUAUAAUGUAUACUUGUGUUCUACCUGGUUUAUAUAUCUUAUUUUCUACUUUGCUUUGUCGGCCUAUGAUACCUACUGAGUACAAGUGGACCAUACUCACUCCUACUGUAUCCUUCUGGUGCAGAUUCAGUUUCGGGUGCGCCUCACAUUGCUUGAUUUGGAUGAUUGUUGAAGAUUUUAAGGUAGUGGAUGAUUUCAGGCGUCCGGAUGUCUUCUACUAUCUUCUCUAUCAUUAGACUAUAUCUUCAUUAGUUUUCAGAGACAGAGUUGUAUCUAUUGGAUUUCUUAUGUACUUCACUUGGAUUCGAGUUAUACUUGAUACAUUUUUAUACUGUUGACACCAGGUUUUGGGAGUUAUGGUUGCAUCGUCGAUUAUAUGCUUUCCACAUUUGUUAUACUUAUAUGGUCCGGCUUCGUUCUAAAGGCCUUACCUUGGGGGUAUUUUUAUUUUUUUCCCUUUCUGUGUCAGUUUGGGUGAUAGGCUUACUUGUCAAGGUUUACCGCGACGAGUGCCAUCAUGACCCUUGAUUUUGGGUCGUGACAUUUGGGGUCUUAUGGCUUGACCCCAUCUCUGUCAAAAUCAGAGAAGCGAAUAAUAAUCGUAUACAUAUUUCCACAAUCUAGUGCCUCUUUUCCUCUAUUCAAGCAUUAUUCUUCUUUUGUAGACAUUAUUAUUAUUUUUUUAUUCACACAUUAUUAUUUGAAAUUUAUAUUUUGUAUGUUCUUGUUUGAAUUAAUCUUUAAAUAUUAUGGCAAAUUUUUUUUUCUUAAAUUCUAAAUUUAGCAUAUCUCUAGACUCAAGUAUUUAAUUUAUAUCGUUUAAAGGUUAAAAUUUGGUUGGUUAAAACAUAUCUUCUAAUAUAAAUGGCCAAGUUUAUUAUAAUUUUGUAAUGCUUCUUUAAUAUGAAAUAGUAACCUAUCUUUCAAAUCAAAAUUAGCUUUCACUAAUUAGUAAUGUCGGUGUAACCAACAUAUAAGUUUUGCGGUGGACGGGCUUAUUAUUGUUAGACUUGAAAUCUGGCUUUAACUACUUUGGAAAUGAAAAAUUAAUCCGCUUUCAUCAAUUUUAAAUAAGAAAUUAUGACUUCGCCAAUUUGAUUUCGCAAGGCCUUCUUCAGGAUUUCAAAGUAAAAAAAAUACAUUUUUUAAACAUGAGCCAUUUCUUAAUAGAAAUAAAUAAAUUCUCAAGUUAUUGUAGAUUUAAAUAACUAUGUUUUGAUAGCUAUUCAUUUAGUGUAGGGCAAUUAACCUAUUUUUAUAAAAUUUUAAAAAGGGAAAAAAGAGUUAUUUGUUAAGAAUAAAGGAAAGCGUAAAGUUCUUAACAUAACUAACUUUUUUAUUGUUAAUUGAAAGCUUUUGUAUAUCUUUUAAAAGAAAUGAUUUUUAAAUAAACUUUCUUUCUGACAAGAUAAGAUUGCAUCAUUGUUAAGAGGUUUUAUAAAAAAUCUUCAAUAAUUUUUUAAAAGUAGAUAUAUGGCGAGGAUGUUCUAAAAUUUUUUCUAAUCUUUUUCUUAUAAAUUACUAGCAUAUUUUAUAUUUAGUAAGAUAUAAAUAUUCUUUAUACCUAGCUUAUAUCUUAAAAAACUUUCCCUAAUUUAACAUUUGAUUUUCUUAUUAACCUAAGUUUGGCCGGUUAACCGUCGUUGGCGGGUCCUUUAGGGUGCCUAAUCUCUUCUCUUUAUGAUAAUUAGAGCCCUUACCUAGAAUUUUUUAAGUUAAGUAAACCUUAAAAUAAAAUUUUUAUUUUAUUUUAAUCACAUAGUUUAUAAUAGGUGUCCUAAUUCACCGUAGAACUAAUUACAUGGAAAAUUCUUUAAUUUAAUUAUGAUUUUUCUAACAUGUUAUACCUUGAUUUGACCCAUGUUAAAAUGGGGUAUAACAGAAGGGCAACUGGCCAAAUGAGAUUCCAGUAGAUUUUUGGAAGAGCAUUAGCGAGGCAAGUUUGGAGUGAUUGACAAUGUUGAUUAGCAUCAUUUUUAGAAAUGUGAAGAUGUCUGAAGUUUGGAGAUAGAGUGUUAUGAUUCCAUUAUAUAAGAACAAGAGAGAUAUACAGAAUUGCAACAACUAUAGGGGUACCAAGUGUUUGAGUCAUACUAUAAAGGUUUGGAAAAGGGUAAUGGAGUUGAGGCUGAGGAGGAUCAAGACAAACUUUGAGAAUCAGUUCAAUUUUGUGUUAGGUCAUUCAAUAAUCGAGGACAUUCACUAUGUGAGGAGACUGAUGAAGCAGUAUAGGAAGAGAAAGAAGGACUUACACAUGGUGUUCAUUGAUCUUGAGAAGGCAUAUAAGAAAGUAGCUAAAAAGGUUCUAUGGAGGUGCUUUGAGGAUAGAUGUGUGCUCGAUACACUAGGUCGAUUCAUGACAUGUAUGAUGGAACAAAGACGCGUGUAAAGAUAGUAGGAGGAGAUUUGGAGCACUUUUCUAUUUUGGCAUAGUUUCACCAGAGGUGGACGCUUAGUCCAUUUUCAUUUGCCUUGGUAAUGAAUGUUUUGACAUAGUGCAUUAAAGGGGAGGUACCUUGGUUUAUGUUAUUUUUUAAUGAUGUAGUUCUAAUUGGCGAGACUCGGGGAGGAGCUAAUGAUAAGUGACAAACCUUUGAGUCUAAUGGGUUUAGGAUAAGUAGGACCAAGAUGGAGAACUUGGAAUGUAAGUUCAGUUAUUUAAUGCAUGAGGCAGACGUGGUAGUGAAGCUAGAUUCUCAGGCUCUCCAGGAGAGAUAUUAUUUCAAGUAUCUUGGGUCUAUGAUUCAAGGGAAUGGUUAGAUUUACAAGGAUUUCAUGCACCAUAUUAGUUCAGGUGGCUGAAAUGGAGGCUCUCUUCGAGAGUCUUGUGUGAUAAGAAGGUUCCUCCUAAGCUUAAAGGUAAGUUCUACAGAGUGGCAGUCCGCUUGACUUUGUUGUAUGGAGUGGAGUAUUGGCUGGUUAAGAAUUCUUAUAUCCAAAAGUUGAAGGUGGCAAAGAUAAGGAUAUUGCGAUAGAUCUGUGGACUUACUAAGAGAGAGAUUUAGAAAUAAGAUUAUUAAAGAGAAAUAGAGAGUGGCUUUGGUGGAAGACAAGAUGCGGGAAGUGAGGUUGAUAUGGUUUGACAUGUUAUGAGGAGGUUCUUGGAUACCCAAGUACAAAGGUGUGAGAGGCUGACUAUGGAUGGUUUCAUGAGGGGUAGAUGUAGGCCGAAAAAAUACUAAAGAGAGGUCACUACAUGAAAUAGUUAUAGUUUAUGGAUGACAUAACCCUUUAUAAAAAAGUAUGAUGGAUGUAGAUUAGGGUAGAGGGUUAGUAAGUAGGAGUGUGUCCUUAAUAGGGAGGAGUUCUUUGUAUUAUUACACCUGUAGUAAUAAUGUUAUGCAUGUGUCUUGUAGUUUCUUGUUUGUACCGUUUUGGUGUUGUUGGUGAAUUUCAAAUAGAUAGUUUAUAAUACUAAUCUAUGAGUGUCUUUUUUAUUGUAUCAUUCUAUUAUGUAUUUUUAUGUUUUUUGUUUGUUAUAUUGGUGCUUGUCCUGAGCCGAGGGUCUAUUGGAAACAACCUCUCUACUUCAUCUGAGAUAGUGGUGUGGACUGCAUACACUUUAUCCUCCUCAGACCCCACUUUGUGGGAUUACACUUAGUAUGUUGUUGUUGUUGUAUUUUUCUUUAUCCCACAAUAGAGGUUUAUUGUGUUGAUCGAUAGAAUUACCCGACUUAAGCUUUAACCUAUGGAUAAAUGCCAAUGACAUUGACCUGAAAAGAAGUGUUCCAACGCUAUCAAACGUAUAGGAAUUUUUAUAAGACAAGAUGAUGCAGACAAAGAUGAACAUAUUUCUCACUUUGAGCAAUAAUUUGAGAUAUUAAUAGGAAAACUACAUCAAUAUAGAGAUCCAACACAUCUAUCGAUGACUGCUCUGCUACGCCUUUUCCUUUUUCCAUCACCAAGAAUUCUGAUGCCCAAAAAUUAAACAUCAAUGUGACCUCCCACUAAUAUUAUAGACUUAAUGAAUUCAUCAUCCCCAUUCACACCCUUUAACCAAUGAAAUCUUCUUCACUGCACCCCAUAUCACAAUAUCAUUGCCUAUUCUCUUCAUUUAAUAGACAAAUGAUGGAACCUAUUAAGAACGCCAUGUUCCCCCAAUAUAUGUAACUGAGACACCUGCUUUCACCACACCUACUAAAGGUAGGUUUUUGGCGAAUACAAGGAAAGGAGAGGAAGAUGAUUCAGGAAACAUAACAUGAACAAUCUUUAAAAUUUAAAAUAGAUGCCAAAACAUCACUAGGAAAUUCAAGGCAGCAAUCGCUUUGUAACAACCCAAUUUUCUGGAACUGGAAUUUCACACGGUGCUCAUGAUCCCGAAGGACCAUAAGCUAACCCUGUACUGAUAUUGUACCUGAAUACUGCAUAAUAUAGAUAAUAAAUACGGAAACUAGCCAUAAGGUUCAAAACAUCUAAAAAUACUCAAAAUUGAAAACUGAAUAAUGAUACAUCUGUCCGAAAAGCCUCUAAACUAUUUGAACUAUGGAGUUGAUGGGACAUGUCCCUAACUAACUUCCUCUACUGAAAAUAAACUAAGUCUGAUAUGAUAAUAAUAAAAAUAAGGAUCAUCCUCGACUGAAGAGGACUCACUGCUAUGUCUACUGCUGUUGACUGGGAUUGAGCUACUAAGCGUACUCUGGAUCUCGUGCUUCCGAACCUAUGGUGUUAAAUGAAACACUAUAGCACAAAUACAUUAGUACGGGAAUGUACCGAGUAUAAAGAUGAGGUAAGGCUAAAUGCAAGGGCCCAUGCAUGAAUAAUUACUUAACUGAAUAAUCAUGAGAGUACUGAAUGAGAACACAUGCAUGAAUGCACGAACCAUAACUGAAAUAAUCGUGACUCAAAAUACUGAAACUCGAAUACUACUUUACUUUUAUCUAAACUCACUACUAAUGCCUGAGAUACUGAAUACUGAAUCAUCUAAUACUGAUAACUGAGUACUGGAGUUAAGAUCAGUCUUAUCUAGCGAGUGAUCUCAAAAAUUAAUGAUACUGAAACUAAUUAACUGAAUCUACUUAUAUCAAUGACUGAAUUCUGAGCUUUAUACUACCUAUUGACUGCAUCAGAGACUCUCUAAUGGAUAAUUUUGGAAUCUACUAUCAAUGAUAAGAAUAGAUUAUAUCUGAGAUCAAACCUAUCUAGCGAAAGAUCUCUGAAUCUAAUAAUAAGAAUACUCAACUGAAUUUGAGACUGAGAUCAAGCCUAUCUAGCGGGUGAUAUUUGAAUCUGACAAUGAGAUUAUUCAACUGAAUCUGAGACUAAGAUCAAGCUGAUCUAGCGGAUGAUCUCUGUAUCUGAUAAUGAGAUUACUCAACUGAAUCUGAGACUGAGAUCAAGCCUAUCUAGCGGGUGAUCUCUGGAUCUGAUAAUAAGAUUACUCAACUAAAUCUGAGAUUGAGAUCAAUCCUAUCUAACACGUGAUCUCUGGAUCUAAUAAUGAGAUUACUCAAUAGCUUUAUGUGGGACCAUGCCUAUCUAGCGGGUGUUCGAUGAGUCAAUGGAACUAUUUGAGUUCCUCACUAAGAUAUAGAUGAUUGUAUCUAACAGUCUUAAUUUAUGAGUUCUUUUCUGAAGACUGAUACUGAAAUUGUAACUAUGGGAGUGCUCACUUAACCGACAUGCACUGAAUCUGAACCAGUGGGGUACAACCUAUAAACCCAGCUAGAAGGGUGUCAAUACCGUGCCACGGGUAAAGACCUUUCUGGUCAAGCCUCUCUAACGGGUGAUCCUCGCAGGAAGUCAAGCCUAAGGCAGUAUAAUAGUCAAGCCUAUCUAGUGGGUGACAAGCCUUUUCUAAUGGGUGACUCUUGCAUCCUGUGCUGGCUACACAGUUUUGGAGUUUAGGGAUUACUCCUAACGACUCUGCCUCUCUAACGGGGAGCUACCAUCCCUGCACUUUCUCGGUGCUAGCUCCUAAUCCCAACUGAAAGACUCUGAACUAAUUCUUAACUUAACUUGAACUAAAUCUGAUACUGAUUAUAUUUCUCGAAUGAUCUGACUGAGUUACGCUAAAUUCACUUGGUUUUGUAUCUGAUAGAAUACUACUAAAUCUAAUUAUCUGACUGCAUGAUACUGAGUUCCAAACUGAACACUUGAAUACUACUAGGUUUGAGCUGAGUACUAAACUGAGGCUAGAAUACUAGCGAUACUGAGAUUAUUGAGAUUUUUGAGAUUUCUUAAGUUCUGUAUCUGUUUGAGAGUACAGAGUUCUAUAACUCACUCUGUUCUGAGAGUCGUGGCUUAACCGAGAUUAUCGAGGAAACUGACUAGACUGCAGCUAAUUUGCCAGGUAUAAAUACCCUCAAGACUCGAUAACAUAAAAGUAAAACAUAACCAUUCUUGAAUAAUCAAGACCAUGGAAUUUAUUCACCAUCACAAUCAGUGAAGCAUCUCUUAAAGUAUUUAGAAAUCAUAAACAUGUAAUAGUAUAGGGAGACAUGCUAUUGUAUCAUACUCCAUUCAACAAGGUCUUACAUCAAACACUCAGCAUGUAUUAAAGUCUUAGCAUGUAUCGAAGAGCACAUAAUUGGGGAAUUUCAUGCUAUCAUGUCACAAUUCUUUCACUAAGGUUUUUCAACAAACACUUGGCAUGCAUGGGCUUCCACACAAUUGGGGAUUUCUAGUCAACAUGCUAUAAUGGCUCUAAUUUCUUCAUAUAAGUAUUUUAUCAAACAUUUGGGGAGCAUUCUUUGCUUAUUCAACAAUUUCUACACUUAAUUGACAAUAACACAUCACUUAACAAGUAACUUGAAGAGGGUUUAUUAUGAACAUCACAUGAAUAUCAUAUACUAGGGUCAAAGCUUGAAACAUCAUCAACAAAACAUGAAUUAAAACUCAAUAAUAGCAUGAACUCCAAUUUCAAUUCAUAUGAAUCAUGAAAACUCAUAAACAUGAGAUCUUUGAAAUUUAAAAAAAGGUUUUUGAACUUCUUGGAUGAAAGGGACCCAAGAAUCAACAUCUGCAUACCUUAGUUUCUUGAAUCUUGAAAAGUUAACAGAGGAAUCUUAAUGAUAGGGGUCUUGAUUUAGGAAACCUAGCUCUUGUUCUUGAACAACUUUUAGAGAAAACUAGUGUUUUUGAGUUAAAUGAGGCCAAAAUCCCGUGUUAAGGAGUAUAUUUAGGGGUAGUAAAAUAACUAUUUUCGCCCUUGGAAUUAAACUGAAAAAUCCUAAUUUUACAUGCUGGCGUGAUGCGCCAUAAUCAUGCCAGCUUACUGGAAAUUAGACAAUUAGGAAACUGCUUGAUGGCGCUACGCGGUGGAAAUUGCGUUGCCACCUUGGUUGUGAACUGGAAAGGCAUCGCGACAUGGUGAAUUCAUGUUGGUGCAUUGGAAAUUGACAACUCUAAAAUUAAGCCUUGGCGUGAUGUGCCAUAAUCAUAGAGGCUCACUGGAUUUUGACGAUUGUCAUUUUGGCUGGAUCCGCAACGCACUAAAGUGCCAGGUGGCACACUGUCUUUCUAAAAUGGCUCUAACUGUUUGUCCGAGUGUCAGAUUUGGGCAAAUUUGGUAUCGACGGAAAUCUUAUUCAAUUCUUCACAUGAUAAAAAGUCAAUAUUAUGGAAAUUCUACAUGGUUUAAAAUACUUCUCACUUGGGAAGACACUUCUCGACCUUUUAGGGCUGGAUUAAUAGUUUACUGAACACGCUCUAAGGCUUAGACUAUGAGAGAAUCUUGUGGGAUUUUACAUGCUUGAACUAUGAAGGUCUAUCCAUCCAUCAAGCAACCUAAUUUUAAAUUUUUUGAUGGAAUUGGUGAACCCCAUAAUCAUCUGAGAGCUUAUUAUGAUAAAUUAGUAGGGAUUGGCAAAAAUGAAAUGAUCACAAUGAAGUUGUUCAAUAGAAGUAUGUCAGGUGAUGCUCUCUUUUGGUACAUCAAAUAAUACCCUUGUCAUUUAUGUAAAUUGAGAAACAUGACAUAAGACAUUAUGGAUCGUUUCAAGUACAACACAGAAAUUGCACUUGAUCGAUAUUCCCUCAUUAGUGUCAAAAGAAGCCACCCAAGUCAUUCUAGGGAUAUGCUCGAUGAUAGAGGUAUAAGGCAGGAAAAGUCCAACCACCAAUGGAUAAAAAUGAAUUGAUGAAGUAUGUUAUCUGUAGUCAGGAAGGGGUAUACUUCCGAAGGAUAAUGUCCAUGUUGGGACAAAAGUUUUUUGAUUACAUCAAAAUAGAGAAAUAUAUAAAAGAAGAAAUUAAGUUCAAAAAGAUUAAGUUGACAAAUAACUAGAGAAAAUCUACUGAGUCAUAGUCCACCGGAGGGGUUACAAAAGAGAAAUAAGAAGAAAUAUAUUUUGUGAUAUCGCACUACAUAAUAUCUGAAUCUCUCCGAUCACUUCAAAAUCCUAGAUAACAUGCAAAAUCAAAAUCACAACCAUGUCAUGCCUACAAUAUCCUACAAAAUUACCAUUAACUCUAACCUCCCAUAUACAAAAAUCAACCAAGACUAUGUGUACCAAUCUAAGUACCACUACACCCAAAUCAAACACCAUUAGUGCGAAGACAAUGUCUAAAAGACAAGCAUGAUCGAAGCCACACAUAAUCUUUUGAGCCAUUAGCAUAAUUUCUUGAGAGAUUAAAAGGCCACAUAUUUGUUGUAACCCAAGUCGGUAAGUUCAAGGGAAUGAUAUUAAAGAUUGUAUUAGAUUAAAGCAGCGAAUCGAGAAUUUGAUCAAGAAAAGGGGAAUUCAAUGUGUUGUGGUGCAACCAAAUCCAAAACAAUAAUUUAUUUCCCAGUCAUAAAAAUAUAGGAGUGAAUAUGACAUAAUAGAGAUCAUAAUUUGUGCCAAGCCAACAAAUCCUCUUUUAUGAGGCACUCUAUGGAGAAGAGCUAAUUUUAAGAAAAAUAGACAGAUGAAUUCUAAAUUGAUCAACUCAAAUGCAGUCAGUAGAGUCCUACAUUUGAUGUCAUUUCCAAAAUAGAAUUCCCCUCUAAUUAUCAUGUAACAAAACUACUUUCCGACCUGAUUUCUCAUGAUGAGAUACAUAGGAAACCCUCAUCAGGUUUGGUUGCAUUUAACUAGAUUUAUUUCCCUUUUUGUAAUUAGAACUCGUGCGACCAGAUUUUCCUCGUCGGGAUAUGUAGGUAGCCAACAUAAGGCUCAAUAUCUUUAUAAUAACAUAUCUUCCUAUAGCGGAAAAGGGAAAUUGGAUCCUAAUAGUGAGAUUCAAAGGACCCGAUAUGUUUCAUCAAAGUAUCCAAUGAUAUGUGAUAAUGAAUUAUCAUGAAAGUCUCUCGGUAAGAUUGGGGUGUAAUAUCCCGUGAUUUUCCUAGCUUAAACUCAUCCCAAAAAAUGUUAAAGAUUAUCUCUUAGAAUGAACGAUGUUUAUUUUGUGUGGAAUUCUUUAGAUUUGAACUUUCCAUGGUGUAGGAAAUUGAAUAAGCUUUCCAAUGAUAUAAUAUUUGCCUAAAUCCGAUAACUAGGUAAGAAGUUAUGGCUAUUUUAAGUUCCAGUCGUAAAACACUGUCAUUUGGACUCUUAGCGCUUCGCGGAGAAAAAAUCCCAAUUGUCAUUUUUUAGUGGCCCUCCGCAAUAGUAGCACAUCGUGAAGAGGAACAAAUUUCCAUUGGUCAAUUUCCAGAGGUCCAGCGCGAUAAUAGCACAUCGCGCCAUGUGCCAAAAUGGCAUUCCAAAGGAGCACCGUGAUAACCCCACAUUGCGGAGUCUGCCUAUUUUAGUUGGCAUUUUCCAGUGGCUUGGCACCAUUGUAGCGCGUCGCACCAAGGUCAAAAAUCGAGACCCUAUUUUAUUUUUUCCAGUUUUGUUUAGAAGUUAAAAGGGGGUAUUUUGGAAUUUUCCCCAACCCUCAAUCCGUUCAAACACGAGAUUAAAGCCUUUUAAAAGCAUUAUAUGCUAAGUUUCAUCAAAAUUACUCUCAUCCAAAAUCCUAGGCUUCAACAUUCAUCUCCAGAAAACUCAAGAUUCCACCAUUUCUUCUCCAAAUUGAUUCAAGAUUUAAGAUCCCUAGACUAAGAGCUUCAAGAAUCUUCAUUCAAGAGUGCGAAUAGAGUCUCCAAAAGCAAGUUGUGUCUAGUUCAUCAUCUAAGGUAUGUGGAGUUUCAACAAGGACAAUCCUUUCAUCCUUGUGACCAAAACCUAUUUUAAUUAUUAAAGAUACAUGAUUUUAUAUGUUUUCCUUGAAUUUGAAGCUAGAGAUUAUACCCAUAAUUGUUAUAUACAAGCUUAUGAUAUUUCCAAUAUUUUAGAAGUUGAAUUACAUAGGUAUUUCCUGUUAUUAUGCUUAUUGCUGAAAUUUCCAGAUUUUAUGAUGAAUUAUGAAUAUUUAUAUUAUCAAGCAUGAAUUUUUGAGAUGUUUAUCAUGAUAUUGAUACAUGGGUCAUUAAUCCCUAUUUAAAGAAUGUUAUUCGAAGAAUUGUUGUUCUAUAAGCACCCCAUGAUUAGAAUGCUUUCAGAUUUUGAGAAAGAUUUGACCUUUUGGUCUCAGAAUAGAUAUGAAAUCCACUUUACAAAUUCAAAUUACAGAUUUAUAGUUGAUUUUCAUUAUAAACCAUUAGAUUACUUUUAAAGUAGAUUUUUUUGAAGAUAUUGAGAAGGAGAUUGGGAGUAUUAUUUAUCACAGAGAUGGGUAUGUUACUACGGUUUUAUACCCCAGAACUAUGUGCCAACGUAGGAUUUAGAUUAUUCCCACUUCUACGUGGAUGACUGAGAUUGUGAUCACUGAGAUGAGAUUGUUCUAUUCCGAUAGAAAGGAUAGAACAGACCUAACCUUACGGGGGCUAGUCGUGGGACACCAUGGAUGCUCACAUGGUGUACACAUCGGUUAGAAGAACCUCCGAAAUAGAUGCCCCCCACUCUUAAAAACUUUAUGAGAUAAAGUAUUUACUAUGCAGAAUGAGCUUCAUAUUUCAUAUAGCUUACAUGAUUUGAGAACAAUAAGAGAAUACAUAUUUUUUUUAGAACUAAGUGUAAUGACUCACAAGAUUUAGAAUAUAUGCAUUAUCAUUUAUGAUUUCAGGUUUACUCGAGCUAUGUGAGUCAUUUAUGUUUAGCAUGCAUGAUUUACAAAUUAUGAUGCUAUUGUUUACUUAUUGCAUGCACCCCUAUAUACUCAGUACAUCCUCAAAGUACUGAUCCACAUAUAUGUCUAUGUGCUACAUUGUCUCAUAAUGUAGGUUUAGGUGCUCAGUCUUAGCAGCGACAGUAAUUUCUGAGCAUAUUAUCUACAUCCCUGCAGUUGGUGAGUCCUCAUAUUUCUAGGACUUAGCUAUUCAUGUUUCAGUUAUUAGUAGAUGUUUCUUUAUUGAUUUUAGAUAGUUAGAAUCAGCUGGGGCCUGUCCCAGUGGCUCUCUAGAUUUAUUUAGUAGAGGCUUGUCGGACUACCAGAUUCAGUCUUAGAUCUUAGUUGUUAUGUUCAGACUUUUCGGUAUUAGUUUACUCAGAUUGAUGAGAUUAGUACUUUCAGAUAUAUUCAGAUUAUUCAGAUAGUUUUCCGCAUUUUAUCAUGAUUUUACACUCAUAAUUCACUAUGCUAAGAUUCAAAUGUGGUAGAAGGCAACCAGGGUUAGCUCAGAACUACUUGUAGUUCAAAGUACCAUGUGGCAUCCCGGGAACUAGAUUUCGGGGCGUUAAAUGGGGUAAAUUUUUGGAGACUCCAAAAAUCAAUUAGGAAAAGGUCUAAUUCAAGUCAAGGCUAAUAUGUUCGACUUGGAAGUGUGACAAUCAAAGUUGAAUUCUACUAAAUAAUGCACAAAUUUAUGAAGCAUCAAUGGGGUAAAACUUCUCCACAAUCGAAGCUGGUAUGAUGUCUUUGCCAGAGUAUUAGAAUAAAUGGAUCGUCGGUAAACAUGAAAGACACUUCUACCACUUAACUCGAGAAUUUAUCCAAGGAUAUUAUUUUGUUAAACUAUCAAUACAAACUCUUUCAAAAACUCAUCGACAAUCAGUUUAGGAUCUACUACACUCGUUAUAUUAGUCAUAGAAAUAUCAUGCAGUACAUGACUAUAAAAGAAUCAGAAAAAAGUUCUGGAUCAAAGAUCUAUACCCACAAUCGCAAAGUGGUUUUCAAUGAAGCUAUACUCUGAAAAAGCACUCAAAUCUUGGAUUAUGACUAAUAUAUCAAUCAUCAAACAAAAACCAAAUUAGAUAGUGAUACGGUCAAGUAAUGGAUCCAAAAAGAGUUCCUAUAUAAAAAUGCCACAAAGAUAUGGAGACUGUCGAGGUAGUGCUUAAGAAAUGUUCAAAUUUUAUGCAAGGAAGACUCGUGCAUAUACCCAAGCCUCUUACUUCCACCAAACUUUGAGUCAUCGAGACUAUAUAUGAAAAUAGCUUACACAAUGCAUUCACUUCUCUCUAGAUCAAAACCAUGACAUGAAGGAAUCGACCUUGAGACAUGAAUUUCAAAAAUUUAUCGAUUCCAAAACUUUCAAAUGCAUCAAUCAAAGAAAGGAAUGCCUUGAUGCUAAUCUCUAGUGGCAAAAGAAAACGAUGGGAUGUUAAAGAAUCUUAUGUAAGAUAUAUCACUUUGGUAAAUUACCAAAAUAAGCCUUUAAAGGCAAGCUCAUCAUAAUUAUUGACUUUACCAUUCACCAUCCACUCACUCUUUUAACCAAAUUUACUUGAUUCUCCUAAUAUGGAAUUACGUUUUGACCUAAUUCAUAUUCUAGGAUACACAGCCAAACUGAGUCAAGCUCGAUCAUACGAACAAAAUACUCUUUCUACCUUGUCAAAAAUCUCAUCUAUCAUCUUAAGCCACAUUGAUCGCAUCUCUCUAAUAGAAUCAUAAGACCGAAGAUCAAGAUAGAGAAAGUAUCCACCAGAAGAUAUACUAGUUUAAGGACAUCAUUUGGAAUAGGGAAGCUUUACUACUUUAUCUCUUGAAUUUCCAAAUAGAUUUAUAAAUUACUAGAAGGUUGAAGGACA
rnacentral:lncRNA from 1 species